rnacentral:lncRNA from 1 species
UGCUUUGGUGGUGAUGGUGGUGGAGGUGGUGGGGACUUGUACUUGUAAGGGUGCUUGGGUGGUGAUGGUGGUGGAGGUGGUGGAGACUUGUACUUGUAAGGGUGCUUGGGUGGUGAUGGUGGUGGAGGUGGUGGAGACUUAUACUUGUAAACUGGAGAUGGUGGGGGUGGAGACUUGUACUUGUAAGGGUGCUUGGGUGGUGAUGGUGGUGGUGGUGGGGACUUGUACUUGUAAGGAUGCUUGGGUGGUGAUGGUGGUGGAGGUGGAGGAGACUUGUACUUGUAAGGAUGCUUGGGUGGUGAUGGUGGAGGAGGUGGUGGAGACUUAUAGUUGUAAACAGGAGUUGGUGGGGGAGGAGAUUUGUACUUGUAAGGCUUCUUGUGUGGUGGUGGUGGUGGAGAGUAGACCGGAGGAGGCGGUGGUGGAGACUUGUAAUGGUAAGGUGGUGGUGGGUACUUCUUAGGUGGUGGUGGAGGAGAAGAAUAAGUGUAAUCUGCUGAGGUUUCAAAAGGCAAAUUGAGAGACACUGCUAAAACUAAAAGAGUGAGAAAGAGAGAGGUCAUUGAUGACCCCAUUUUCCCCAUCCUUACUUCUAAAAAUGGGUUUAAUUUGGUUAUGCUCUUAGCAGCCCUCUUCACUCCCUUUAUAUAGACUUUGUUUUAAAGUUACAAUCAUGAUAAAAGUGUGAAGGUGGACCGAACCUUCAGCAGCAUUGAAAAAAGACGUUACGUUUAGGUUAUUAGCAUGGUAUGACAUAAUAAUUCUCUAUUCUCUUCCUUGUCGUUUCCCAUAAAUUUAAUUUAAAUAGUCCAUUUGCUAUAUUUAUAUUUCUGUUUCUCUAUUAAAUAUUUAUCAAAUUCAUUUCUCACUCCUUAUAGAAUAUGAAUAAUUAAUCAUUAAACUCGAUUUAGUAAAUACUUUAAAAAAUGAUUUAUCUUAUUUUUAUGCUUUAAUUAAGGCAUCAAAUCAUUAAUCCCAUUUGAUAUUAUGAAAAUUUAUCACUUAAUUGAUCAAAAUGUGAUUCUUGGCAGGAAAACAUAAUUUACUUUCCUUAAAAUGUAAUUUUUAUUGAGAGUUAUUUUUCCACUAACAAUAGAAAGUGAUUCUCUUUAUAAUUCGUGAAAAAAUUACUUUCACAUGUAAAUAAAAAUUGUUAGGAUAAAAUUAACUUUUCUUUUAUUUAUGUUAAGGUUACUAAUUAACUUAUUCAACUUUAAUAAAAGAUAAACAUAGUUGUAGCUUGUUUGUUGAUGUUAGUUUUUUGUCUUUACAACUUCAAACCAUUAUUCUAGUGUAAUUUUUUUUUCUUUCUAAAUAGUAGAUAAGUAUCUAUAUUUUAUUUUGCUAUAAGAAAAUUAUAUUUUUUAGCAUACAAAACUUAAGAUAACUUGUAGAAUCAAGUAGUUGUAUACCUAUUACUCUAGCAAUAAUAAUAUUGACAUUGUCUACUUUCAAAUUAAAAUUUCAAAUUAGUUCAUUGCCCAAUUUUCUCAUUAAAAAAAAUUAUAUAUAACAUGUCAACUUAACGAAACUUACAUGAAAUUUUGUAUGUGUUAAAAAUGAAAAAUAUGGCGGUUAUUAAAAAAGAUGUCAUACAUCUAAAUCAAACUACUAAUUUAAAAAUUAGUAUUGAGAUAAUUUCAAGCCAUAUAUGCAAUAUUUGAGUAUACUUGAACUUAUACAUACAAAUUAGUGAGGAUUAAAAUUUUGUAAAUUGUACAUCUUCACAAUCUUGCGUUAAUAUACAAUUUUUUUAAUGUAUUAAUAUAAUGUUUUAGAUCAAGACGUGAAAAAACAUAAUUCAAAUAUUUGUUAAUAGUAAAAAAUUAUUAAUAAAUAUUUAAUUCAAAAUUUAUUAAUAAUAAAAAUUAUUGAAAAAUAUUAAAUACGUUAAUAUUAUUUUUAUUUAAUAAUGAUACUUUUGUACAGUAAUCUUAUAUUCCCAAAUAAGUGUUAAAUGUGUCAAGAUUUUAAUCAAUACUUUCCGGUGAUUACCAAACGUUGUGAAGUAACUUCUUAAACAAUAAUAUUCUUAUCAAUCACAUUCCAUUAAAAUUUUAACAUAGAAAAGCACCAAAACGCCCCCUUAAAAUCGUGGUAAGUCUUGUUUGUCUAAAAUUUAAAUAUUUAUUUUAUUAUUUAAAAUAUAUUAAUUUUCUAAAAAAAAUCAUUAAUAUUUAUAUUUCUAAUUUUAAACAUUCUUUUGUUAAUUAAAUGAUAGUCUAAACGGUUAAACUCAAAUCGAAAGCAUUUUAUCUUAUAUUAGAUUAUAUGAAUCAUAUUAUGGUUGAAAGUAAAAUGUAUAAAAUCAAUACAAACAUCAAAUAUUAAACUUCCACUCAAUAGAUUUUAAAAUUUCUAAUUUUAUCACUAAUCUAUUUUAAGAUUUUUUUAAAAAAAAUCGUACUUUAGAUUAUCUAAUUUAAAAUUUUAUAAAAUUAUUAAAAAAUAUUCUUGUAAUAAAAAAAAUUUGUUUUAAAAUUUUUAAUUUUUUAUAUAACCAAUGAAUUUUUUACGUUUGUUUUAACUGGUUAUCUAAACAAAAUAAAAACUUAUUUAGUUUAAAUAAAGUGGUAAAUGUGAAAGCACCACAAAUCACAACUACAUUAGUUUUAUAAUUGGAUUAAUUUAAUCACCGGCAGAGGAAAUGUGUUAGUUCUAGCUACCAACAAUUCAUUUUAAUUCCUUUAAAAAUAUUAGAAAAAACCAAUUUGAUUUUUAAUAAUAGAUCUAAUUACUUAAAGGAACAUGGGUGAUGUGCACAUGGCAUACAAGCAUAAAAAAGAACAAAAAGAUUAAGUAUCUUUGCAAAAUAUCUCUCUCUGAAAUAAAUAAAACUUAAAAAAAAACAAUUUUAUUAUCAAAAUAAAAAGAAAAUAGUGUUUUUCUUCACAAAAAAAGAAAAGAAAAGAAAUACUAGUGUUUUUAAUUAAAAUAGAGUGAUCUGGGUAGAAUCUUUUACUUAAAUACUGACAUUGACUUUAUAAGCUAUUUUUUAUCAAAAGAAGAAAGAGAAAAGCAUCCGAUUGAAGAUGUGAAUUAUUAAGUUAAAAUUAAUCAUACAUGUAAAAUAUUAUUGUGCUUUUUUCUAGCCCUCCGAAAGACAUUAUGCUUUGAUUACAACAUUCUUCCUCAGAGAUGAGGUUUGAAGAUGAACUCGGAUGCAUUUAGAUUUUUACAAGACGAAAGUAAAUUAAAGGAUGUUAGUACUUGUAUUCCGAUACGCUUAUAAUACAGAAAGCAAGUAAUAUGUGACUGUACAUAAUGGCUAUGAGGCGAGGAUAUGAUACGAGAAGAUAGAGAUGAGAGAUUGCACUUAAGGGGUUAGCACCUCUUUUCUUUUUGUGUUUGGUCCCCAAAGCAUAUCUCUUAUUGGCUGAUGUUGCAAGGCGGUCCCAUAAGUUGGGCUAAAAGUGCUUGAUAGCUAGAAUUAAUAUUGUGGUAUAACAUAUGUCACCCCUAUAUUUGAAUAAGGUUACAAAGUGACUACUUGAAGAUUUAAAAAAGCAUGGAGAUAAUUUUGUUGCGAAAAUUAAAAGUAAGAGCUAAAUUGUUUGGCUUUAUUAGAGUAUAGACUCUGUUAGUCUAUUAUCAUUUUGUUAUAUAGGCUGGAAUAUUAUUAGUAAGCAGUUAGCAGCAGUUAGUCAUACAAGUAUAAAUUCUAUUCAUGUAUUGUUCAAAGAUAAGCUAAUAAUACCAGAAGAGAUUUAACAUGUUCAUUCUACUUUUUUUUGUUAUUCUUCAUAAUACAGUUGUUAACAUGGUCUCAGUCGCCAAAUUUCUUGGAGGUUGCUUCUAUUGUAGAUCCAUGGCCAAUUCCACUGAUUCUACCUUCGCUGGUCGUAGCAGUCCCUCAUUCUCAGUUCAUGUUUGGUUCAAUCGUUUCCUCGUCAUGGCACUGUGAAGUUAGAUGAAGGAAAUUUUGUACAAUGGCAACAGCAUAUCCAAUUGAUAAUUGAAGGAUAUGAACUCAUAAGAUUUUUAGAAGGGACGUUACCUGCUCCGCCUCGCUUUGUGUCAUCUCCGGAUGGAAACUUAGCUCUGACUCCCGAUGCAUCCCUGUUUGUUCAGCAAGAUAAGUUACUCGCUUAUUGGUUACUUUUUACGAUUAGUGCUCCUUUGUUUUCUUGUUUUACAACUGCUAAGACGGCGUGUGAGGUUUGGAGCACUGCGAAUUGCCUAUUUGCUGCUGCCACUAGAGCCAAGCUUUCGCGUAUUAAGCAUGAACUCCAGUCCAUCACGAAAGGCGUGAUGACUAUCAAAGAGUAUAUUGCUAAGAUUCAAAAUACUUGUGCGUUACUCGAGGAAUCUAGAUCAGUGGUUUUAAAGGCUGAAAAGGUAGAGAUCAUUCUUGCCGGCCUAUUGUCUGAUUAUGAUGUCGUUUUAACUCUGGCAUCGUUCUCAACUGAAACUUUUUCGUUAUAAAAGAUUGUUGAUAUGCUUCUGGAGUUCGAAAGCCAUCAGACUCAAGCGGUGAACGACGUACCUUUUCAUGCUCAUUUGGUAGAGGCCACUUCGGCGACAUCCGUGGAGGACUCCGUACGUGGUGGUCGUCCUCCUUCUGGUGCUCGUAGGCGCGACUUUCGAUCUCAGCUUCAGUGCCAGGACUAUGGUUGCUAUGGACAUUUGGUACAAUGCUGUUAUUAUCAGUUCAACCGCGACUACAGUGAUCUGUCUGUUUUGACCAUGGCGCGGGUUUCGCCUGUUCAUGCUGAUCACAAUUAGCAUAACGAUGUUUUUGGCGCAAGUGGUCUCUCGACUAGCUGGUUUUCAUCAACUUGUCCUGGUCCGGACCCGUUCGUGCCUGGACAGUAUGUCGAUUCUUUGGUGGUGACACCGGCGUAUUUCUCUUAUGGCUCAUCAUGGUGAGGGUGGCCACAUUUGCAAAACAAUGCCUCCCUUGUGCCAAGUUUGUUGAAUGUUAAGGUUUCUAACCCUUUUGCUCAUAAUUUUGACGAUGGGGCAGGCUAGGUGUUUGGGCUCGCUGUUGGACCAAGCUCAAAUUGUGGCCAAUUUGGUGGUCCUCACUUACCGCGGAGAAUGGGCCAGCACGUUAGGCCAUUUGCUAGUGUUCCUAGGCCGACUGGUUCAGGCCAAGAUUUUGGGCCAUAUGGAAUUCGUAGGCUAACCAGUGCUGGUCCUAACAUUGGACAGGGUUCACUUGGGCCAAAUGUUAAUUUUGUUAGACUUGAGGGCUCUUUUGGGCAUGGACAAGGACUUUGGCCCACCACUGGCAAUGUUUCAGUGCCAAAUAAUGGGUCAUGCGUUCCAUGGCGCACUAAACUGACGGCGCACAUUAUUGAUUGAUUUCUCACUGUGUGUUGGGUUGCCUCACAUUCUUGAUUUUCAUGUGUCUGAUAUUUUUACUACCUCUGGGUCCAAUGCUAACACGACUCCGUAUGGGUCUAAUUUUGAUAAUGAUAACUCUUACAUUCCUAUGCCUGUAGGGACCUUGUCCUGGUGUCUUAAUUCAGGGUCUAUACAUCAUGUCUAUCGAGAAGCCUCUACCUUGAACGAGUCUACGCCAUACUCAGGUACAUCUCCUCUCCUCAUGGAUGAUAUUACUCCUACAAAAAUAUCAUGUGUUGGAAACUCUAUCUUGCCUACGAAGACUAAGCUGUUUCAUCUAUCUAAUGUUUUGUGUGUGCCAAAUAUACGGAAGAAUCUGCUAUCUGUCUCUCAAUUUGCUAAUGACAAUAAUAUGGUCUUUGAAUUUCACCCGUCUUAUUGAGGACAUCCAGACUCAGGAAAUUUUGCUUCGGGGCCACACUCGUGAUGGGCUCUAUUAUUUUUCGUAGGUUACUCAUGUUCCGUCUGUCGUUGUUCCUUCUGUUCACAACACUGGGCUCCAGAGUCGCAAUGCCGGUGAUGAUGUUUUUACGUUAUGGCACUACAGACUUGGUCAUCCGUCUGCCUCGAUUGUUAAACUUGUUCUCGAUAAGUGUCAAGUUGUUUCAACUAAAAUGUACCUUGAAAAUAUUUGUAUUGCUUGUCAAAAGGGGAAGUCCCAUAAACUGUCUUUUUCAAGUUCUACUACUAAAUAUACGGAUUUGUUUGAAUUGGUUGUCUUUGACUUAUGUGGACUGGCAUCUGUUGUCUGUAGAAAUAAUCUGUAUCAUGUUUCGUUUAUCGACAUGUGUAGUUAUUUUACUUGGAUUUAUCUCAUUAAACGUAAUUCUAAGGAGGUUGAAUGUUUUCUUCAGUUUCAGAAAAUGGUCAAAACUCAGUUUGGGAAAGAUAUUAAAAAAAUUCAAAGUGAUUGGGGUGGUGAGUUUCUUGCCUUUACGUCAGUUCUGGCUAGUCAUGGGAUACUUCAUCACCUCUCCUGUCCAUAUACAUCCGAGUAGAACGAUGUAGCUGAACGAAAACAUCGACACAUUGUUGAGAUGAGUCUUAUUCUAUUGGCCAAAGCUAACCUAUCCAUGGAUUUCUGUGGUUUCGUAUUUUACAAUGCCAUUCAUCUCAUUAGUCUUCUACCGACCCUAGUUCUGAAAGGUCAGUCUCCAUAUCAGGUUCUUCAUGGUAGUGACCCUACAUAUGAUCAUUUACAAGUAUUUAAGUGUUGUUGAUUUUCGUACCUGCGUCUGUUUCUGCAACACAAGUUGGAUUUUCAUUCUCAGCCAUGCAUAUUUUUUAGGUAUAGUUCUCAACAUAAAGGCUAUCACUGCCUCACACCAAAUGGUAAGGUCAUUGUCUCUCGUCAUGUUGUGUUUGAUGAACGUUGGUUUUUCUUUUCUUCAAAUGCUGUGAACACCGUUCAGUUAAGUCCAUGUAUCUCUACAUAUGUUCCUAUUGUUCGGUCUUCAUCUUGCCGCCCCACGACAUCUUCGCUUGUUCGACCCACUGAGUCAUCGACUCUUGCUCCUAAUUGUAGUUCCACGCUGUCUGUUUCAGUUGACACUCCGGCUGAAUUAGGUUUUACUCAUGAGGUGCAUCGGCUCUCUACCUCAUCCCUUGAAUCUCGUCAAUGCGAUCCAACUACAAUUCCAUUGGCUGUUCCAUCUAUUUCUCUGGAAUACUCAUAACACUAUUACUCAGCUAGACCCAAAGCUCUGUCUGUUGAAAUUGUCAACUGUGAGUCGAUCACGAUUGAAGAGGCGCUCGCUAGUAAGGAAUGGCAAUUAGUUGUCCAAGCUGAGUUUGUUGCUAUAAUGGUUAACUCCACUUGGGAGCUUGUUCCCUUACCUCAUGGUCGAAAAGUGAUUAGGUGUAAGUGGCUUUUUAAAAUAAAAAAAUCCUGAUGGGACUAUCACUUGACGUAAGGCUCGGUUGGAAGCAAAGGGUUGUUCUCAGGUACUCAGGUGUGAUUUCAAGGAAACCUUUAGUUUGGUAGUUAAACCUGCUACUAUUAGAACCAUAUUAUCUGUUGCUAUCUCCAACGGUUGGCAAUUUGGUCAGGUAGAUGUGAACAAUGCUUUUUUAAAUGGUGAUCUUAUUGACGAAGUGUUCAUGCAGCAACCUCUAGGCUAUGUUCAGAUUGGUCAAAAUGGUGAGCCCUUGGUGUAUCAUUUGACAAAGGUGUUGUACAGAUUAAGACAAGCUCCACGUGCUUGGUUUGAUAAAUUGAAACGUUUUUUUGUUUCUAUUGGAUUUGCUUUAUCCAAAUCUGAUGUAUCCUUAUUUGUUCAAGUUAAUUCGAAUCCACUAUUUAUGUUUUAGUCUAUAUGGAUGAUAUUAUCGUUACUAGAAGUACGAUCGACGGUAUAAAUGGCUGUAUUCAAUAGUUACAUAAUGUGUUUCCCUUAAAGAUAUGGGAGAUCUUUACUACUUCUUAGGCAUUGAAGUCACUCGGUAGUCCACUGGGAGUCUCCAUUUGUGCCAACGCAAAUACAUUCGGGAUCUUCUUGACAGUAGUUUUUUAGCUAAUGCAAAGAGUGUUCACACACCGAUGGUUAGUUCUUUUACGUUGUUUAAAGAUGUGGGAGAUCGCCUCGUUGAUCCUACUGGAUAUAGAAGUCUUGUCGGUGUAUUACAAUAUGUGGUCUUGACUCUGCCUGAUAUUGCUUAUGCUAUAAAUCAUGUUUGUCAAUUCAUGCAUGCCCCUACUACAGUACAUUUGGUGGCUUUGAAAAGAAUCUUGCACUAUUUAUGUGACACUAUUAAUCAUGGGUUAAUUUUGUCUGUUCAACAUAUUGUCUUUAGUUGGCUAUGCUAAUGCCAACUGGGGACUGGAUUUUGAUGAUCGUAAAUCAACAACAAGCUAUUGUUUGUAUUUUGGGUAUACACCCAUCUCUUGGUGAUCUAAGAGACAACUCUACUGCGUGAGGCGAAGUAUUUUGGCCGCACCAUGGCUGAGGUGAAGUAUCGAAGUCUAGCAACAACUACCAGUGAUGUUACUUGGUUAGUCUCUCUACUAACAAAAUUACAGAUUCAUUCUAUAGAUCCACAUACUAUUUGGCGUGACAACUCUAAUGCAGUAGCGGUCAUUGCUAAUCCGGUCUGACACUCUAAAUUUAAACAUGCCAAGCUUGAUCUAUUUUUUGUUCGCGAAAAGGUCGCUAAUGGUUCUCUCGUUGUCGGUGAGAUUCUAGCAUGUGAUUAAGUUGCUGACAUUCUCACAAAACCACUGUUCGUCUCUACUUUUGCUAGGUUUCGUAGUCUGCUUCAAUUCUUACCUCUUGAGAAGCUGGGUGAAGCCAGGUGAAUAUUAGAGUAUAGACUCUGUUAGUCUGUUACCAUUUUGUUAUUCAGGCUGGAAUAUUGUUAGUAAGCAGUUAGUCAUAGCAGUUAGUCAUACAAUUAUAAAUUCUAUUCAUGUAUUGUUCAAAGGUAAGCUAAUAAUACCAAAAGAGAUUUAAUGUGCUCAUUCUACUUUCUUUGUUAUUCUUCAUAAUACAGUUGUUAACAUGCUUGAUAUCAUCUCUUAGAGAGAACGAGGAGAGAUAAGAGUAAGAGUAUGAGCCAACUAGGGAUAAGGCUCUACCAUAAUACCUUGGAUGCAAUUAAAGUAAGAGUAAGAGCCAACUUGUUUGGCUUGAUAGCAUCCCCUUAUAGAAAAGGCUCUACCGCAUGGCAUGAGAGCAAUAAAAGUAACACUCAAUUUCUUGGGUUGAUAGCAUCUCCUUAGGGAAAAGGGUUUACCAUGUGACAUGAAAGCAAUUAAAGUAAGAGUAAGAUCCAACUUGUUUGUCUUAAUAGCAUCAUUUAAGAGAAAUAUCCCAAUCAAUUUAUUCAAAUAUGUUAAUCAAAUAAUGCAAGUUACAAUGUUCUGUCAGUUUUUCCUUUAAUUGUAACUGGGUUAAAGUUGGUAGUUGUAACUGCUACUAAUAGAAUGGAUACGGUAGAAAUGGUUGCAAGCAACAUAAGCAAAGAUGACUUUAAUGUCUUUGUAUUGACCACGUGAGAACUAUAGAAUGCAGAGAAUAGUAUGGUGAUUGGCAACAGAAUGCUACUAACCUUGAGGAUAGUAGACAGGGAUGGAUCCACGGGGGUUGGGGGCGGUCCCCCCUUGGAAUUUUUAAAAUUUUAAAUUUUAUAUAUAAAUUAUCAUGUAUUUUAAAUUUGGUGUCCACAUUGUAUAGCAUUCACCCCCCUUUUCCAAAUUGCAUUUCAUAUCAUUUGCCCUCUUAAGCCAUAAGGUUAUACUUUAUAUUAACAAAGUAUUUUCCAUUUUUUAAUUAUAUAAAUUUAAUAAUAAUAAUAAUAAUCAAAUAUUAAUAUAUGAUUGGCAUUGAAAGACUAAACAUAAAGGUCCAGUUGAGACUUUAAAGCCAAAUUCCAUAAUUAAUUAAUUGAUUUGGCCCAUACCAGUACAUAUUAGGUUAGCGAAAUUCUUGUAUUUUGAUUUGUAUGUCUUGCUAAGGAAUUAUCUUCCUUUGGUAAGGUGUUGACACUGCCAAGAGAAAAAGAAAGGAUUUUGAUGUCGAGAUUGUGAGCAUAGAGUAAAAAAAAUACAAAUUAUCUUCCUCUUAGCUCCUUAUGGAAAAAACCUCUCGGUAAAUAUUUUUGCAUAAAUUAUGUUUUUUAUUAAUUUGACUUAGUUUUUUUCUUUUUUCCUAAUACAUUGUUGUUUAAUAUAUUCUUACAAUCAUCAGGUUUUUUGACUAAAUUAUGGUCAAUAAAAACAUCGAAUCUAUUUAAAAAAAAAGAGUGUCAGAAAGCAAUAAUGAUCAACCGGUUCCUCAACCUUCCAUUAUUAGUGAAGAAAAAUCAAAUAUCGGAUCUUCCAAAGCUCUUGAACAAAAUAUCAGGUCUUCUUAAGCCCAAGCUCCUAAAUGCGGUAUGGAGUCUUCCCCAACUCCUGAACGAGAUUGUAACAAUCCAUACCCAAUUCGAUCACCAAAUCCAAGUAGAGAGCGCCGCAACUUAAACCAUAUGAAUUGAAUAAUAAAUAUUUGAAAUUUAUUAAAGUAUCGAGUUCUUGGUGUAACCCUCAGUAUAACAAUACGAAACAAUUAAAUCAAUGAUACGCCAGGAAAAAAUGUUUUUAGGCAAAACACAUGGCGGAAGCCUUACAAAAUUUUAUAAGUUUAUAUAAAAUGUAAGAUGAGUUAAUCCCAUACAACAGUUUCAAGUGCAUCGUUGGCGGUUAAAAGAACAUUCAAAAACUAUUCGGCGUAUAUGCCAAUGAGACAAUCACGUGGAACAAGAUAUAGUAGCUUAAACACAUACAUCACUUACCACGUCAUCAUAACAUAUACUAACCAUAUAAACAAACUUAUCGAGCUGCGAACUAACAAGUUCACCCAAACAUCUAGGGUUAGCGAUAACUUAUUAGAAGAGCCCGCCAAACCCUAGAGUUCGCCAAAACCUGGAGUUCACCAAAUGGCGACUCCCAUAGAAUACGCCAAACACACAACCAAAAAUAAAUACUCUACUAAUUUACUCAUUUUAUAUUCUUAGCAUAAACAACUAUGCACCAAACAGUAACUUGAUACAUUAUCUUUCGGGCGAGUUGUUACAAUUCUCCCCCAUUUAGAAACUUUUGUCCUUGAAAUUCUUACCGGUGAAUAACUGAGGAUAUUGUUCUUUCAUCGAACUCUCUCUUUCCCAAAUGGCUUCUUUUGUAUUGUGAUUUAUCUAUAAUACAUUAACCAAAGGAAUUCUUUUACUUCUCAACUCUUUUACUUCCCUUGCUAAAAUACAAACAGGUUCUUCUUCAUAGGACAAGUUUUGCUCCACUUCCAGUGCUUUGACUUGUACCACAUAAUCUGGAUUGGAUUGAUAUUUUCUUAACAUAGAUAUAUUAAACACAUUAUGUAUAUUUGAUAACUCUGGUGGCAACACCAGUUUGUAUGCCACUGGACCAACUUAUUCCAAAAUCUCAUAUGGUUCUAUGAAAUGCAGACUUAAUUUCCCUUUUUGUUCAAACCUUAUGAUCUUCUUCCAAAGAGAAAACUUCAUAAAUGCAUUGUCACCCACUUCGAAAGAGAUUAUUUUCCUUUUUAGAUCAGCAUAAGCUUUCUGGCGAUCUUAAGUUACUUUCAGAUGAUUUCUAAUGAUAAAGACUUUCUCUUCUGUUUCUCAUACUAAAUCAAGACCAACUAUUUUCCUUUUACUGAGUCUCAUCCAAUAGGUAGGAGAUCUGCACCUUCGUCUAUACAAAGCUCCAAAUGGUAACAUUCCCAGACUGUCAUAAUAACUAUUAUUAUACGCAAACUCUAGCAAAGGAAGAUAUCUUUCUCAAUUCAUUCUAAAAUCUAUAAUACAACCUCUAAACAUGUCUUCUAGAACUUGAAAUACUCUUUCAAAUUGCUCAUCGAAUUAGGGAUGAAAGGUAGUACAGAAUCAUUAUUUCGUUCCCAACGAUUCUUGCAGUUGUCUCCAAAAUCUCAAUGUAAACAUUGGGUCUCGAUCUGAAACUAUGGAUGUUGGAAUCCCAUGAGGCGUACAACUUCAGAAACGUAGAGAUUAGCCAACUUUUCCAAUAAGUAAUUUGUGCGGACAAACAAGAUAUGGGCUAACUUAGUAAGUCGAUCUACAAUUACCUAGACUGAGUACUUCUUCGAAAGGAUGAGAGGGAGAGCCAAAACAAAAUCCAUGGUGAUCUUAUCCCACUUCCACAUAGAUAUCUCUAAAAGGUACAACUUGCCUAAGGGAACCUGAUGUUCUAUUUUAAUCUGCUGACAUGUCAAACAAAUGGAAAUGUACUUUGUUAUUUCUUUCUUCAUUUCAAGUCAGUAAUACAAACUUAUCAAAUUAUGAUACAUUUUAUGUAAAACUCUCAACCCAACUCGAAAUGUCGAGUCUGGAUCUCGGGUAUUACUAUACAUAAUACUUGGCAAAAUAUCAAAAUAGUUGACAAAUACUCUUUAUAGAAAACAUUUUCUUAUUAUUUUAACCAAAAGACUAAAUAUUUAAUAACAAGAGAAAAUAUUAAAAACAAAAAAAAAUUAUUACAUCAGACUUGGUACAACUCAUUAUAGUAUAAAAUUUUGUUAAAGACAUACUCUUGGGGCAUAACCCUAAUCUAAGCCACUUUUCCACUAUAUGCAUAAUAACCCACUUCGCCACUAUCUUGGCGUACUCCUAGCAUCGUCACUCCUAAUGCAUUCUCUACCCAUACACCUGAAAACAACAACAUUUUAAGCUUAAGAUAACUUAGUGACUUUUAUCCCAAAAAUACCUUGGCGAGUACUUUAUAUUAUUUGAAGAACAUUUGUGCGCCAUCUAUCCUUCUGAACCACCUUCUUCUGAAUUAAGUGGAUACUAUUAUAGAUUCAACUUUCACUUACACGCCAACUAUCAUACUCUUAACAAACUCACUUAUUCUAGAAUAGUUGUUCACAUAUAUUAAUCACUAAUUGAUACAUUCAUAUUUGGCGAAUACUUACGCAGAUCUGAAUACCAUCAAACUACUAAUCAAAUCAUACCUUGAUCCGAUACCAUACAAACUCAUACUGAUAAUGUACUACACAAAUUAUUCAAAUGAAUUUUCCACUACUUUGUUACAGGACCCCAGAUAAUCAUCAUAACAAUAACUCAAUUUUCAUAUGAUUUCAGAAGAAGAUAUAAUACAACCCAAAUACGGCAAAUUCCAGAUAACUCAGAUUCAACAACUGCUUAACACAUACGAACUCACAUUUAUAAUUUCUUAUGUCCCACAUAACUACGACUAUGUCUAUAUUCAACACUAACAAAUAAUCAUGACGGAUACCCUUCUUAUACAUAUAUGCAUUUCUUUUCUAGAAAUCUCUUAAGACUUACUCAAUUAUAUCACAUAUCUUAUUCAACCCUUAACUUUAGACAUAUCAUAACCCUAUCAUAUCAAUAUCUAUCACAAAAAAAAUCAGGAUUUAUCCAAAACUUACCAUAAAGGUAGAUAAUCAUAUUAUAUCAGACAAACUUAACUAAAUGUGCCACAAAGGCCAAACAAAAUAUGCCUUAAAGGCUUCAUACAAAAUCACGUGUUUACUAUCCCGACGGACUAUCACAAAAGGUGUCAUGGGUUUCUCCCACAUGGACUUAUACAUAAUUUCAUGUAUUGUGAUCUGCCAUUUUGAAUCAUACGUUAUCGAAGGAUACUCCAUAAGCAUACAUACAGACAUAUCUUGCCAUGUGUCUCAGCCACAUGGCUUAAACACACAUUCAUGUACUGUGAUAUGUCAAUCCAGUCUUACUCUUAUUAGAGCCUACACCAUGAGUGUUUUCAAAUCAUAUUAAGAUGUUGUAGGUCUCAACCUCAUAGUCUUACACUUGUUUUCAUAUCGUGACCUGCCAGUCUAGUUAGCAAUAUAAUUGCCUACCAGAGGCUUCAUAGAGGAACAUUUGCUUAGAUUCACUUACCUAGAUGAUCUGUAACACCCCUUACCCGAGACCGUUGUCAGAGUCGAGCACGAGGUAUUACUUAUCUUAUCUUACUAACUCGAAGCAUAAAAACUUGUUUUAAAAAUUAAUUUCACUAUUUAUAGCAAUUUGUCCAAUCGCGCAGCAGUUACUAAAUUAAUUAUAACUCGAGAUACGGAACUUGAAAUUUAACUCCGUAAAUUUUCCCUGAAACUAGACUCAUAUAUCUUCCUACCAUAAAAAUUUUAGGAUUUUUAGUUUAUCAAAUUAGUACAGUUUAUUAGUUAAAUUCUCCCCUGUUUCACAAAUCGACUGCCCUGACCUCUUAUCACUAAAAAUAAAAUGUAUCAUUGUGGGAUUUUCGUAUAGUGCUACCGCUUGCUUCUACAGAAAAUAGACUCAAUAAGGAAUCUAUACAUAUAAACUACAACUCAUAAAUAUUUUUUUAAAAUUUUUAAUGAUUUUAUAAACUCAAAACAGGGGUCACCAAAAACUGUUCUAACCCUGUCUCACCAAAAUUCACAUAUCUUAAAAUAUAAAUUCCUUUUGCUACACCGUUAUUUUUAUGUGAAAAUAGACUCAACAAGAUUUAUGUCAUUCAAUAUUUAAUUCAUUUUAUACUAUCCUAGGUGAUUUUUCAAAGUCACGUCACUGUUGCUGCCUGAAUUCUGUUUCUUUGCAAAAUUUUACCCUUUUAUGAUUUCCAUGCAUAGUUUAUCACUUAGACUCUUAUAACAACAAACACUUCCAUACUUAACCAUUUUAGCAACCAUUCAUCAUCAAAUACUUACACAUCAUUCUUUAGCAAGAUCAUAAAUACAAACAUUUAAAAUAACUAAAUCCCUUUACAUUCCAUACUCAACAUGGUUCAACAUAAAAAUACCGAGUUGCUGUGGUUGAUAGUGUGGACGAUCUCCGACUUCUUUAGGAUCCUUGAAGUAACCUUGCAAUACUAUAAGAGAAAGAGAAAUAAAAGACGUAAGCAUAAAGCUUAGUAAGUUUACUAGCAAAUAAAUAACAAUAUUUAACUAGAUAAUUAAACUCAAGUGUCUAUAUCUCUAGUUUACUAUUUAGUUAAUCUCAUUCUAGUUCUCUUGCUUGUUUACUUAGUAUACUUGUGUGCAUAACUUACUCCUCUCUUGCUGUAUAGUUGAAUAUCAAUUGAUAAUAUAAUAAGUUAUUAACUCUUAUAACUUACCUGAACUUGCCAUUUAUGUUUUUAACUGAACUUUCCUGAACAUGAUUCGUUAUUUAGCCCGUUGAGCUACAUUGGAACAAUAAGGAUACUCGGGUCUCUUCUGAUAAUAACAUGCCAAAGCCAUGUCCCAGACAUGGUCUUACAUGGGAUGUACUCAUGUCGGUGCCCAUUCCAUAUCCCAGACAUGGUCUUACGGGGGACCUCUCAUCUCGGUGCCAAUGCCAUGUCCCAGACAUGGUCUUACAUGGGACCUCUCAUCUCGGUGCCAACGCCAUGUCCCAGACAUGGUCUUACAUGGGACCUCUCAUCUCGGUGCCAACGCCAUGUCCCAGACAUGGUCUUACAUGGGACCUCUUUACCCAAAUGUCAUGACAUUCGUAUCCAGUACCAUCCUUACUAUUCAUGACAACCGAUAUAUAUAUAUACAUACUCACUAUUCACAAGGACUCGAACGAUUAUAUACUCAUCAACCACCUUAAAACAAUGUUCAUAAACUUAUCCAUUUCAUAUAAACAAAAGCAUAUAUAUUUAUAACCAAUGCAUAGAAUCACUUAAUUUAAACAGAUUCACUGGCACUUCACCUGAUAGGCUUAUAGUUUAAUUCAGUUCACCGGCACUUAGCCUACUAGGCUUGUAGCCUGAUUCAGUUCACCGGCACUUAGCCUGCUAGACGUAUAGUCCGAUUCAAUUCACCGGCAUUUAGCCUGCUAGACGUAUAGUCUGAUUCAAUUUACCGGCACUUAGCCUGCUAGACGUAUAGUCUGAAUAAUUUUACUGGUAAUAAAUCCGAUAGUAAUUUCUCCGUUGAAAUUGAAUUAUAUUCAAUUCUGCGUAACAAACAUGCACUUAAAACAUACUUGCAUAAUUCACAACAAUAAUUUCAGUCCAAAGAGCUGUAAUUCAUAUUCGAACUAUAUAUAUAUAAAUCCAUACAUAAAAAUUCAACUCAAAAUUUAUAACCUAUAUCUUUGAACCACAUAGGUACAUGAAAUUCAAACACCAAAAUCCAGCUCAAUAACUUCAUGAUUCAACCUAACAAAUUUAUGUAUAUAACUUUUUAUCUAAUUUCAAUACAAUAACUUAUACAUGUACGUAUAUACAUAUUCGAAUCUAACAUAUACAUAUAUAAUUUCAUACUUAAAUAUAUUCAAGACUUAUUCAUGAGUAUACAUAUAUAUUACAACUCACAUGUACAUAUAUAUACACAUUCAUACCUUUAACCAAGUCCAAGGCUUUAUACAUGUAUAUGCUUAUAUAUAUAUAUUCGGACCUUAUGUUUACAUAUAUAUAUUAUAUAAAUACCUUUGAUUAAAAACAAGUAUUUAUACAUAUAUAUAUUUUCGAACAUGAUACAUAUAUAUUUAUAUCAUUCAUACUUAAACAAAAUUCAAUCCAUAUACUUUCAAUUUCAGCUCACCAAAUUACUAUAGAUAUACAUGCAUAUAUACUGAUUUAAUAACCUCAAAUUGCUAAUAGACUUACCUCGGAUAUCAGCGGACACGAUCGAGUAUUCGAUUACUUUCGUUUUUCCCCGAUCCAAAUUCGUUUUCUUCGUUUUUUAUCUUAAUUAGACCUAGAGAUAGCCGAACCUUGUUGUUCUCUUUUCUUUUCUUUUCUUUUUCUUUUCUAUAUUCGGCCAAGAUGAAGAACAUGGCAUUUAAAAUUUGUUAUAUUAAACAUAUAUUAGCCUUAUUUUUAAUUUACUAUAUUAACCUUUACAUAUAUAUAACAUAUAUAAUAAGGUUACAUUAGUCCUUUGCCACCCACUAACUUACAUAGUGGACUAAUUGCAUAGUAAAACCUCUAAAUUAUAAAGACAACAAGAAUUAGGUCCUUUUAUAAUUAACCCCUAAAUUUUCAUUUUACGCGAUUAAGCCCUUUUAUUAAAUCGGACACUUAAACGACGAAAUUAAAACACGAAAAUUUCACACAAUCAAAUGCAUACAAAACAAUAUUAAUAAUAUUUUUCUAAUUCAAAUUUGUGGUCCCGAAACCAGUAUUCUGAUUAGGGUCAAAAACCGGGUUGUUACAACUCUCCCCCCUUAGGGAUUUUCGUCCCCGAAAAUCUUACCGGUGAAUAGGUUUGGAUAACGCUCUUUCAUUGUAUCUUCUAACUCCCAAGUUGCUUCUUCAACCCCAUGUUUAUGCCACAACACUUUAACUAACGGAAUUUUCUUAUUUCGUAAUUCUUUGAUCUCACGAGCCAGAAUGCUAAUCGGUUCUUCCUCAUAUGUCAUAUCAGAGUUAAUUUCAAUCUCCGUCGGACUAAUCACAUGUGAAGGAUCAGAUCGGUAUCUACGAAGCAUCGAAACAUGGAAUACGUUAUGAAUCUUUUCUAACUCAGGCAGUAACAUCAAUCUAUAAGCAACCAAUCCAACUCGCUCUAUAAUCUCAUACGGUCCAAUGAAUCUCGGACACAAUUUGCCUUUACGACCAAAUCUGAGUAUUUUCUUCCACGGUGAGACUUUUAAAAACACUUUAUCCCCGAUCUGAAAUUCUAUAUCCUUUCUUUUCAAAUUCGCAUAAGAUUUCUGACGAUCCGAUGCUGAUUUCAGACUGUCCCGAAUCACUUUCACUUUCUGUUCGGUCUCUUUAAUCAAAUCAACCCCGUGUAUCUUAUUUUCACUGAGCUCGGUCCAAUACAGUGGUGUACGACAUUUACAACCGUACAAAGCCUCAUAAGGUGCCAUUUUGAUACUAGAUUGAAAGCUAUUAUUAUAAGCAAAUUCAAUCAAAGGUAAGUAUCGUUCCCACGUACCUUCAAACUCGAGAAUGCAACAUCUCAACAUAUCCUCAAGUAUCUGAAUGAUUCAUUCAGAUUGACCAUCUGUCUGCGGAUCGAAAGCUGUGCUAAAAUGUAGUUUCGUACCUAAAGCAUCUUGUAGUUUCUUCCAAAAUCGCGAUGUGAAUCUCAGAUCUCUGUCUGAAACAAUAGAAAUAGGUACACCAUGCAACCUCACAAUUUGUGAAAUAUACAAUUCCGCAAGUUUAUCGAGCGAAAAAUCUGUACGAAUCGAAAUAAAAUGUGUCGAUUUUGUCAACCUAUCAACAAUAACCCAGAUUGCAUCUAUCUUGCUCGGUGUCAACGGUAAAUCGGAUACAAAAUCCAUCGUGACUCGAUCCCAUUUCCAUUGAGGUAUCAUGAUCGGCUGAAGCAACCCAGAUGGUACCUGAUGCUUGGCUUUAACUUGCUGACAAAUUAAACAUUUCGAAACAAAGUCAGAAAUGUCUCGUUUCAUACCUUGCCACCAAUAGUGCUGUUUCAGAUCGUUAUACAUUUUCGUGCUACCCGGAUGAACAGAAAAUCGACUACUAUGAGCUUCCUUCAAAAUCAUCUAAAUUAACUCUGAUUUUUUCGGAACACAUAAUCGGUUUCUAAAUCUCAAACAAUCCUCAGCAUCAACUAAAAACUCCGAAUCAAUAUUUAAGUCACAUUGAGCUCGUUUUGCAGUUAAAUCAUUAUCGACCUUUUGAGCUUCACAAAUCUGUUGUACAAAUAACGGUUUUGCUUUCAACUCAGCUACUAUCGCACCAUCAUCAGACAUAACCAUAUGUGCGUUCAUUGCACGCAAAGCAAACAGUGAUUUUCGACUUAGGGCAUCAGCAACAACAUUAGCCUUUCCCGGAUGAUAGUCAAUCACAAGCUCGUAUUCUUUCAGCAAUUCUAACCAUCGACGCUGUCUCAAAUUCAGAUAUUUCUGAGUCAUCAAAUAUUUCAGGCUUUUGGGAUCGGAAUAAACAUGACAUCUUUCACCAAACAGAUAGUGACGCCAUAUUUUUAACGCAAAUACAAUAGCGGCCAAUUCCAGAUCAUGUGUCGGAUAGUUUUUUUCAUGCGGCUUUAACUGUCUCAAGGCAUAGGCUACAACUUUGCCUUCCUACAUCAAAACACAACCCAAACCAUUUAAAGAUGCAUCACUAUAGAUAACAAACUCUUUACCCGAUUCGGGUUGAACUAAGACUGGAGCUUCGGUCAAAAGAACUUUCAACUGAUCAAAGUUUUUCUGACACUUUUCUGACCACUCGAACUUAACGUCUUUUUGUAGUAGCUUUGUCAUCGGGGUCGCAAUCAUAGAAAACCCUUUCACGAACCGUCUAUAAUAACCAGCGAGCCCCAGAAAGCUUCGAACAUCAGAGACAUUUCUCGGAGGUUUCCAAUCAAGUAUAGCUGAAAUUUUACCUGGAUCAACUCGAAUACCCGAUGCUGACACAACAUGGCCCAGAAAACUAACUUCACGUAACCAGAACUCGCAUUUACUGAACUUUGCAUACAACUGUUUAUCUCGCAAAGUUUGUAACACAAGUCUCAGAUGUUCAGUAUGCUCGGUUUCAUCACGAGAGUAGAUCAAAAUAUCAUCUAUAAAUACUACCACAAAUCGAUCCAGAUACUGUCUAAAAAUCUGAUUCAUCAAAUCCAUGAAAACAGCAGGUGCAUUAGUAAGUCCAAAAGGCAUAACCAAGAACUCAUAAUGUCCGUACCUCGUUCGGAAAGCUGUCUUUGGCACAUCAGAGUCUUUAACUCGCAACUGAUAGUAGCCUGAUCUCAGAUCUAUCUUCGAAAACACAGUAGCCCCUUUCAACUGAUCGAACAAAUCAUCAAUCCGUGGUAACGGAUACUUAUUCUUUAUAGUCACCUUAUUGAGUUGCCGGUAAUCAAUGCACAUUCUCAUUGUUCUGUCUUUCUUUUUCACAAAUAGAACUGGUGCACCCCAAGGAGAGAAACUCGGUCGUGUAAAACCUUUAUCAGUCAACUCUUGCAACUGUACUUUCAAUUCUUUUAAUUCGGUCGGUACCAUACGGUACGGAGCUAUCGAAAUUGGAGUUGUCCCUGGUACUAACUCAAUACCAAACUCUACCUCUCGAAUAGGUGGCAAACCCGGUAAUUCUUCGGGAAACACGUCUGAAUACUUACACACUACUGGCACAGAUUCAAUCUUCUUUUCGGUCACUUUACUAUCAAGAAAAAAUGCAAGGUAAUCUUCACAACCUUUUCUCACAUACUUCUGAGCCGACAUCGAGGAUAUUAUUGCUGGUAAACCAUUCAGAUCAUUAGAUUCAAUCCGAAUAAUCUCAUCAUUCUGACACCGUAGAUCAAUAGUUUUCCGUUUGCAGUUUACUAUAGCAUUAUGCAGAGUUAACCAAUCCAUACCCAGAAUUAUAUCAAACUCGUCAAAUGGUAGCAACAUCAAAUCAGCCAGAAAACAUAAAUCUCGAAUCAUCAACGGACAAUUCUUGCACACUUUGUCAACCAAAACACACCGGCCCAAGAGGUUCAAUACUUUAAUUACAAACUCAGUAGACUCAACAGGCAAAGUCUUACUGAAUACUAAAGUCUCACACACAUAAGAAUGAGUCGAACCAAGAUCAAUCAAUGCAAUAACAUUAGUAUCAUAAAGAGUGAAAGUACCAGUAAUAACAUCUGGAGAAGAAGCCUCCUCCCGAGCACGGAUGGCAUAUGCUCUGGCAAGUGCACGAGCCUCAGAUCGAACUGCCAUGUCCUUUGUUCCUCUCUGACUGCCACUUACAUUACUCAAUUGCCUCGGCGGUCUACCUCGUACAGGUACUUUACUCGGUCUGGUAUUCUACACAGUGUUUUGCUCAGCUACCAUCGGACACUCUCGAAUGAAAUGAUCCUUUGAACCGCACUUAAAGCAAGACCGAUCAUGUAAUCUGCAAUCUCCAGGAUGCCAUUUCCCACAAUGCUUGUACUCUGAUCUAUUUUGUCGAACACUACCAACGCUAGCAACUGAAGUAGCUCGUGAACUCACAGGGGGUCGAUCUCGAUCAUACUUAGGAAACCCUGCAGUAGCUUUAGAUCGGCUAUGAUCCUCUCUGGAUUUCAUUGAGGUCGACUGGAAUGAUUUACUGAAUGAUCUUUUACGAGAAUCUCGAGCUUCAUAGCCAGCUUUCCUCUUCUCUUUACUGAGCUCCUUAACUUUACAAGGUCGUUCAACAAGUACUACGAACUCUUUUAUCUCAAGUAUACCAAAUAACAGUUUAAUAUCUUCAUCCAGCCCAUCUUCAAAUCUUUUACACAUGAUAGCUUCAGUCGAAAUACAUUCUCGAGCAUAUCUACUGAGUCUCACAAAUUUCCGCUCAUAUUCUAUCACUGUCAUACGACCCUGUUUCAAUUCAAGAAAUUCCUUAUGCUUCUGAUCAAUGAAUCUUUGGCUGAUGUAUUUCUUACAGAACUCAAUCUGAAAGAAUUCCCAGGUCACUCGCUCUUUCGGAACCACCGAUACUAGUGUAUUCCACCAGUGAUAUGCAGUGUCCCGUAGCAAAGAUAUGGCACAUUUCAAGUACUCAUCAGGGGUGCAAGAUAACUCAUCAAACACUCGAAUAGUAUUAUCAAGCCAGAAUUCAGCUUGCUCAGCAUCAUCAUCAUCAGUAGCUCUGAACUCUUCGACCCCGUGUUUUCAAAUUUAGUCAACAGGAGGCUUAAGUAAUCUCAUCGGAUCACUUACUUGAGGUAUAAUAGGAAUCGAAGGUGGAUUAGUCGGGGGUGGAGUUUGUUGUGCAACCGGAUUAGUUCGGACAUAUUGAGUAAACCAGUCAUUCAUCAUUUGGUAGAAGGCUUGUUUAGCCUCUCCCUCCUGGUUACUCGAGGUCGGUCGAGAAUCUACCAGCUCUGUCCCUUGUGUGGGAGCAGGCGCUAUACUCUCAACAUCAUCGACUACGGCUGGAUCGGGAUCCAUUACUAUACGAAAACACAUUUUUAGACAUCAGCAGUCAUCGCACUAUCUUGGUAUAAAAAUAUGGCAUGUAUAGCUAGACUCAUACAUGCUACAUUAGUCCAAGAAUCGAUUAAACCGUAGCUCUGAUACCAAUAAAAUGUAACACCCCUAACCCGUAUCCGUCGCCGAAUUAGGGUUACGAGGCAUUACUGAACAAAUACAACCAUUUUUAAAACCAACUGAUCACAAACAUGAAAAUUAAAUCAUUUUCACAUAGCUAUUUAUAAUUUACAAUCAACAUCUAACCAACAUCGUACUCAAACCUAUACAUGCCAUAAGAUCAAGUUCAAAUAUUUAACAAAAUACCAAAAGGGGUCGAAAGUGUGAUAGACUAUGCUGAUGAUCCCCGAGCUCGUAACGCAUCUCCAAAAUCUAUAAAAACAAAUGGACAAAAACAAUCAAAGUAAGCUUUUAUAGCUUAGUAAGUCUAUAGCAUAUCUAAAAUACAUAUAAAAGAAUCAUAUAAUUCUUAAAAUAAAUUUAUUGAAAUCACAAUUAUCAAUUAUAAUUACUAAUCGAACAUUGCUAUAUUAAGUCAUCUUGUUUAAAUCUAAAAGGAUGUGUAUUUAUCUAAUACACAUGAACGGACAAAUGUAUAUACAUUAUAUGCAUAUAAUCAAUUUACUAACAUAAUCAUUAAUUGCAUAUACGGAUUUCUAUAGUACUUAUUGUUCGCACUUAAUCGGAUCCAUUUAAAUAUAAUUGUUCAAAUACAUAUACCAAAAGCAUAAUAAUUUUAUACUUGAUCAACUAUAAGUGCCGAAUGCACAUAUACACCUAUACCCACCUAUGCCGAAUGCAUACAUAUAUACACAUAUAUAUAUAUCCAACAAUUUCGUGACAACCGAUAUAUAUAUACAUACUCACUAUUCACAAGGACUCGAACGAUUAUAUACUCAUCAACCACCUUAAAACAAUGUUCAUAAACUUAUCCAUUUCAUAUAAACAAAAGCAUAUAUAUUUAUACCCAAUGCAUAGAAUCACUUAAUUUAAACAGAUUCACUAGCACUUCACCUGAUAGGCUUAUAGUUUAAUUCAGUUCACCGGUACUUAGCCUACUAGGCUUGUAGCCUGAUUCAGUUCACCGGCACUUAGCCUGCUAGACGUAUAGUCCGAUUCAAUUCACCGGCAUUUAGCCUGCUAGACGUAUAGUCCGAUUCAAUUUAUCGGCACUUAGCCUGCUAGAUGUAUAGUCUGAAUAAUUUUACUGGUAAUAAAUCCGAUAGUCAUUUCUCCGUUGAAAUUGAAUUAUAUUCAAUUCUGCGUAACAAACAUGCACUUAAAACAUACUUGCAUAAUUCACAACAAUAAUUUCAGUCCAAAGAGCUGUAAUUCAUAUUCGAACUAUAUAUAUAAAUCCAUACAUAAAAAUUCAGCUCAAAAUUUAUAACCUAUAUCUUUGAACCACAUAGGUACAUGAAAUUCAAACAACAAAAUCCAGCUCAAUAACUUCAUGAUUCAACCUAACAAAUUUAUGUAUAUAACUUUUUAUCUAAUUUCAAUACAAUAACUUAUACAUGUACGUAUAUACAUAUUCGAAUCUAACAUAUACAUAUAUAAUUUCAUACUUAAAUAUAUUCAAGACUUAUUCAUGAGUAUACAUAUAUAUUACAACUCACAUGUACAUAUAUAUACACAUUCAUACCUUUAACCAAGUCCAAGGCUUUAUACAUGUAUAUGCUUAUAUAUAUAUAUAUUCGGACCUUAUGUUUACAUAUAUAUUAUAUAUAAAUACCUUUGAUUAAAAACAAGUAUUUAUACAUAUAUAUAUUUUUGAACAUGAUACAUAUAUAUAUUUAUAUCAUUCAUACUUAAACAAAAUUCAAUCCAUAUACUUUCAAUUUCAGCUCACCAAAUUACUAUAGAUAUACAUGCAUAUAUACUGAUUUAAUAACCUCAAAUUGCUAAUAGACUUACCUCGGAUAUCAGCGGACACGAUCGACUAUUCGAUUACUUUCGUUUUUCCCCGAUCCAAAUUCGUUUUCUUCGUUUUUUUAUCUUAAUUAGACCUAGAGAUAGCCGAACCUUGUUGUUCUCUUUUCUUUUCUUUUCUUUUUCUUUUCUAUAUUCGGCCAAGAUGAAGAACAUGGCAUUUAAAAUUUGUUAUAUUAAACAUAUAUUAGCCUUAUUUUUAAUUUACUAUAUUAACCUUUACAUAUAUAUAUAACAUAUAUAAUAAGGUUACAUUAGUCCUUUGCCACCCACUAACUUACAUAGUGGACUAAUUGCAUAGUAAAACCUCUAAAUUAUAAAGACAACAACAAUUAGGUGCUUUUAUAAUUAACCCCUAAAUUUUCAUUUUACGCGAUUAAGCCCUUUUAUUAAAUCGGACACUUAAACGACGAAAUUAAAACACGAAAAUUUCACACAAUCAAAUGCAUACAAAAUAAUAUUAAUAAUAUUUUUCUAAUUCAAAUUUGUGGUCCCGAAACCAGUAUUCUGAUUAGGGUCAAAAACCGGGUUGUUACAACUCUCCCCCCUUAGAGAUUUUCGUCCCCGAAAAUCUUACCGGUGAAUAGGUUUGGAUAACGCUCUUUCAUUGUAUCUUCUGACUCCCAAGUUGCUUCUUCAACCCCAUGUUUAUGCCACAACACUUUAACUAACGGAAUUUUCUUAUUUCGUAAUUCUUUGAUCUCACGAGCAAGAAUGCUAAUCGGUUCUUCCUCAUAUGUCAUAUCAGAGUUAAUUUCAAUCUCCGUCGGACUAAUCACAUGUGAAGGAUCAGAUCGGUAUCUACGGAGCAUCGAAACAUGGAAUACGUUAUGAAUCUUUUCUAACUCAGGCAGUAACAUCAAUCUAUAAGCAACCAAUCCAACUCGCUCUAUAAUCUCAUACGGUCCAAUUAAUCUCGGACACAAUUUGCCUUUACGACCAAAUCUGAGUAUUUUCUUCCACGGUGAGACUUUUAACUUGCUCGGUGUCAACGGUAAAUCGGAUACAAAAUCCAUCGUGACUCGAUCCCAUUUCCAUUGAGGUAUCAUGAUCGGCUGAAGCAAUCCAGAUGGUACCUGAUGCUCGGCUUUAACUUGCUGACAAAUUAAACAUUUCGAAACAAAGUCAGAAAUGUCUCGUUUCAUACCUUGCCACCAAUAGUGCUGUUUUAGAUCGUUAUACAUUUUCGUGCUACCCGGAUGAACAGAAAAUCGAAUACUAUGAGCUUCCUUCAAAAUCAUCUGAAUUAACUCUGAAUUUUUCGGAACACAUAAUCGGUUUCUAAAUCUCAAACAAUCCUCAGCAUCAACUAAAAACUCCGAAUCAAUAUUUAAGUCACAUUGAGCUCGUUUUGCAGUUAAAUCAUUAUCAACCUUUUGAGCUUCACAAAUCUGUUGUACAAAUAACAGUUUUGCUUUCAACUCAGCUACUAUCGCACCAUCAUCAGACAUAACCAUAUGUGCGUUCAUUGCACGCAAAGCAAACAGUGAUUUUCGACUUAGGGCAUCAGCAACAACAUUAGCCUUUCCCGGAUGAUAGUCAAUCACAAGCUCGUAAUCUUUCAGCAAUUCUAACCAUCGACGCUGUCUCAAAUUCAGAUAUUUCUGAGUCAUCAAAUAUUUCAGGCUUUUGGGAUCGGAAUAAACAUGACAUCUUUCGCCAAACAGAUAGUGACGCCAUAUUUUUAACGCAAAUACAAUAGCGGCCAAUUCCAGAUCAUGCGUCGGAUAGUUUUUUUCAUGCGGCUUUAACUGUCUCAAGGCAUAGGCUACAACUUUGCCUUCCUACAUCAAAACACAACCCAAACCAUUUAAAGAUGCAUCACUAUAGAUAACAAACUCUUUACCCGAUUCGGGUUGAACUAGGACUGGAGCUUCGGUCAAAAGAACUUUCAACUGAUCAAAGUUUUUCUGACACUUUUCUGACCACUCGAACUUAACGUCUUUUUGUAGUAGCUUUGUCAUCGGGGUCGCAAUCAUAGAAAACCCUUUCACGAACCGUCUAUAAUAACCAGCGAGCCCCAGAAAGCUUCGAACAUCAGAGACAUUUCUCGGAGGUUUCCAAUCAAGUAUAGCUGAAAUUUUACUUGGAUCAACCUGAAUACCCGAUGCUGACACAACAUGGCCCAGAAAACUAACUUCACGUAACCAGAACUCGAAUUUACUGAACUUUGCAUACAACUGUUUAUCUCGCAAAGUUUGUAACACAAGUCUCAGAUGUUCAGUAUGCUCGGUUUCAUCACGAGAGUAGAUCAAAAUAUCAUCUAUAAAUACUACCACAAACAGAUCCAGAUACUGUCUAAAAAUCUGAUUCAUCAAAUCCAUGAAAACAGCAGGUGCAUUAGUAAGUCCAAAAGGCAUAACCAAGAACUCAUAAUGUCCGUACCUCGUUCGGAAAGCAGUCUUUGGCACAUCAGAGUCUUUAACUCGCAACUGAUAGUAGCCUGAUCUCAGAUCUAUCUUCGAAAACACAGUAGCCCCUUUCAACUGAUCGAACAAAUCAUCAAUCCGUGGUAACGGAUACUUAUUCUUUAUAGUCACCUUAUUGAGUUGCCGGUAAUCAAUGCACAUUCUCAUUGUUCCGUCUUUCUUUUUCACAAAUAGAACUGGUGCACCCCAAGGAGAGAAACUCGGUCGUGCAAAACCUUUAUCAGUCAACUCUUGCAACUGUACUUUCAAUUCUUUUAAUUCAGUCGGUGCCAUACGGUACGGAGCUAUCGAAAUUGGAGUUGUCCCUGGUACUAACUCAAUACCAAACUCUACCUCUCGAAUAGGUGGCAAACCCGGUAAUUCUUCGGGAAACACGUCUGAAUACUUACACACUACUGGCACAGAUUCAAUCUUCUUUUCGAUCACUUUACUAUCAAGAAAAAAUGCAAGGUAAUCUUCACAACCUUUUCUCACAUACUUUUUUGCCGACAUCGAGGAUAUUAUUGCUGGUAAACCAUUCAGAUCAUUAGAUUCAAUCCGAAUAAUCUCAUCAUUCUGACACCGUAGAUCAAUAGUUUUCCGUUUGCAGUUUACUAUAGCAUCAUGCAGAGUUAACCAAUCCAUACCCAGAAUUAUAUCAAACUCGUCAAAUGGUAGCAACAUCAAAUCAGCCAGAAAACAUAAAUCUCGAAUCAUCAACGGACAAUUCUUGCAUAUUUUGUCAACCAAAACACACCGGCCCAGGGGGUUCAAUACUUUAAUUACAAACUCAGUAGACUCAACAGGCAAAGUCUUACUGAAUACUAAAGUCUCACACACAUAAGAAUGAGUCGAACCAAGAUCAAUCAAUGCAAUAACAUUAGUAUCAUAAAGAGGGAAAGUACCAGUAAUAACAUCUGGAGAAGAAGCCUCCUCUUGAGCACGGAUGGCAUAUGCUCUGGCAAGUGCACGAGCCUCAGAUCGAACUGCCAUGUCCUUUGUUCCUCUCUGACUGCCACUUACAUUACUCAAUUGCCUCGGUGGUCUACCUCGUACUGGCACUUUACUCGGUCUGGUAUUCUGCACAGUGUUUUGCUCAGCUACCAUCGGACACUCUCGAAUGAAAUGAUCCUUUGAACCGCACUUAAAGCAAGACCGAUCAUGUAAUCUGCAAUCUCCAGGAUGCCAUUUCCCACAAUACUUGUACUCUGAUCUAUUUUGUCGAACACUACCAACGCUAGCAACUGAAGUAGCUCGUGAACUCACAGGGGGUCGAUCUCGAUCAUACUUAGGAAACCCUGCAGUAGCUUUAGAUCGGCUAUGAUCCUCUCUGGAUUUCAUUGAGGUCGACUGGAAUGAUUUACUGAAUAAUCUUUUACGAGAAUCUCGAGCUUCAUAGCCAGCUUUCCUCUUCUCUUUCCCGAGCUCCUCAACUUUACAAGGUCGUUCAACAAGUACUACGAACUCUUUUAUCUCAAGUAUACCAAAUAACAGUUUAAUAUCUUCAUCCAGCCCAUCUUCAAAUCUUUUACACAUGAUAGCUUCAGUCGAAAUACAUUCUCGAGCAUAUCUACUGAGUCUCACAAAUUUCCGCUCAUAUUCUAUCACUGUCAUACGACCCUGUUUCAAUUUAAGAAAUUACUUACGCUUCUGAUCAAUGAAUCUUUGGCUGAUGUAUUUCUUACAGAACUCAAUCUGAAAGAAUUCCCAGGUCACUCGCUCUUUCGGAACCACCGAUACUAGUGUAUUCCACCAGUGAUAUGCAGUGUCCCGUGGCAAAGAUAUGGCACAUUUCAAGUACUCAUCAGGGGUGCAAGAUAACUCAUCAAACACUCGAAUAGUAUUAUCAAGCCAGAAUUCAUCUCGCUCAGCAUCAUCAUCAUCAGUAGCUCUGAACUCUUCGACCCCGUGUUUUUGAAUUUUGUCAAUAGGAGGCUUAAGUAAUCUCAUCGGAUCACUUACUUGAGGUAUAACAGGAAUCGAAGGUGGAUUAGUCGGGGGUGGAGUUUGUUGUGCAACCGGAUUAGUUCGGACAUAUUGAGUAAACCAGUCAUUCAUCAUUUGGUAGAAGGCUUGUUUAGCCUCUCCCUCCUGGUUACUCGAGGUCGGUCGAGAAUCUACCGGCUCUGUCCCUUGUGUGGGAGCAGGCGCUAUACCCUCAACAUCAUCGACUACGGCUCGAUCGGGAUCCAUUACUAUACGAAAACACAUUUUUAGACAUCAGCAGUCAUCACACUAUCUUGGUAUAAAAAUAUGGCAUGUAUAGCUAGACUCAUACAUGCUACAUUAGUCCAAGAAUCGAUUAAACCGUAGCUCUGAUACCAAUAAAAUGUAACACCCCUAACCCGUAUCCGUCGCCGAAUUAGGGUUACGAGGCAUUACUGAACAAAUACAACCAUUUUUAAAACCAACUGAUCACAAACAUGAAAAUUAAAUCAUUUUCACAUAGCUAUUUAUAAUUUACAAUCAACAUCUAACCAACAUCGUACUCAAACCUAUACAUGCCAUAAGAUCAAGUUCAAAUAUUUAACAAAAUACCAAAAGGGGUCAAAAGUGUGAUAGACUAUGCUGAUGAUCCCCGAGCUCGUAACGCGUCUCCAAAAUCUAUAAAAACAAAUGGACAAAAACAAUCAAAGUAAGCUUUUAUAGCUUAGUAAGUCUAUAGCAUAUCUAAAAUACAUAUAAAAGAAUCAUAUAAUUCUUAAAAUAAAUUUAUUGAAAUCACAAUUAUCAAUUAUAAUUACUAAUCGAACAUUGCUAUAUUAAGUCAUCUUGUUUAAAUCUAAAAGGAUGUGUAUUUAUCUAAUACACAUGAACGGACAAAUGUAUAUACAUUAUAUGCAUAUAAUCAAUUUACUAACAUAAUCAUUAAUUGCAUAUACGGAUUUCUAUAGUACUUAUUGUUCGCACUUCAUCGGAUCCAUUUAAAUAUAAUUGUUCAAAUACAUAUACCAAAAGCAUAAUAAUUUUAUACUUGAUCAACUAUAAGUGCCGAAUGCACAUAUACACCUAUACCCACCUAUGCCGAAUGCAUACAUAUAUACACAUAUAUAUAUAUCCAACAAUUUCAUGACAACCGAUAUAUAUAUACAUACUCACUAUUCACAAGGACUCGAACGAUUAUAUACUCAUCAACCACCUUAAAACAAUGUUCAUAAACUUAUCCAUUUCAUAUAAACAAAAGCAUAUAUAUUUAUACCCAAUGCAUAGAAUCACUUAAUUUAAACAGAUUCACUGGCACUUCACCUGAUAGGCUUAUAGUUUAAUUCAGUUCACCGGCACUUAGCCUACUAGGCUUGUAGCCUGAUUCAGUUCACCGGCACUUAGCCUGCUAGACGUAUAGUCCGAUUCAAUUCACCGGCAUUUAGCCUGCUAGACGUAUAGUCCGAUUCAAUUUACCGGCACUUAGCCUGCUAGAUGUAUAGUCUGAAUAAUUUUACUGGUAAUAAAUCCGAUAGUCAUUUCUCCGUUGAAAUUGAAUUAUAUUCAAUUCUGCGUAACAAACAUGCACUUAAAACAUACUUGCAUAAUUCACAACAAUAAUUUCAGUCCAAAGAGCUGUAAUUCAUAUUCGAACUAUAUAUAUAUAAAUCCAUACAUAAAAAUUCAGCUCAAAAUUUAUAACCUAUAUCUUUGAACCACAUAGGUACAUGAAAUUCAAACAACAAAAUCCAGCUCAAUAACUUCAUGAUUCAACCUAACAAAUUUAUGUAUAUAACUUUUUAUCUAAUUUCAAUACAAUAACUUAUACAUGUACGUAUAUACAUAUUUGAAUCUAACAUAUACAUAUAUAAUUUCAUACUUAAAUAUAUUCAAGACUUAUUCAUGAGUAUACAUAUAUAUUACAACUCACAUGUACAUAUAUAUACACAUUCAUACCUUUAACCAAGUCCAAGGCUUUAUACAUGUAUAUGCUUAUAUAUAUAUAUAUUCGGACCUUAUGUUUACAUAUAUAUUAUAUAUAAAUACCUUUGAUUAAAAACAAGUAUUUAUACAUAUAUAUAUUUUCGAACAUGAUACAUACAUAUAUUUAUAUCAUUCAUACUUAAACAAAAUUCAAUCCAUAUACUUUCAAUUUCAGCUCACCAAAUUACUAUAGAUAUACAUGCAUAUAUACUGAUUUAAUAACCUCAAAUUGCUAAUAGACUUACCUCGGAUAUCAGCGGACACGAUCGACUAUUCGAUUACUUUCGUUUUUCCCCGAUCCAAAUUCGUUUUCUUCGUUUUUUUAUCUUAAUUAGACCUAGAGAUAGCCGAACCUUGUUGUUCUCUUUUCUUUUCUUUUCUUUUUCUUUUCUAUAUUCGGCCAAGAUGAAGAACAUGGCAUUUAAAAUUUGUUAUAUUAAACAUAUAUUAGCCUUAUUUUUAAUUUACUAUAUUAACCUUUACAUAUAUAUAACAUAUAUAAUAAGGUUACAUUAGUCCUUUGCCACCCACUAACUUACAUAGUGGACUAAUUGCAUAGUAAAACCUCUAAAUUAUAAAGACAACAACAAUUAGGUGCUUUUAUAAUUAACCCCUAAAUUUUCAUUUUACGCGAUUAAGCCCUUUUAUUAAAUCGGACACUUAAACAACGAAAUUAAAACACGAAAAUUUCACACAAUCAAAUGCAUACAAAAUAAUAUUAAUAAUAUUUUUCUAAUUCAAAUUUGUGGUCCCGAAACCAGUAUUCUGAUUAGGGUCAAAAACUGGGUUGUUACAACUCUCCCCCCUUAGGGAUUUUCGUCCCCGAAAAUCUUACCGGUGAAUAGGUUUGGAUAACGCUCUUUCAUUGUAUCUUCUGACUCCCAAGUUGCUUCUUCAACCCCAUGUUUAUGCCACAACACUUUAACUAACGGAAUUUUCUUAUUUCGUAAUUCUUUGAUCUCACGAGCCAGAAUGCUAAUCGGUUCUUCCUCAUAUGUCAUAUCAGAGUUAAUUUCAAUCUCCGUCGGACUAAUCACAUGUGAAGGAUCAGAUCGGUAUCCACAGAGCAUUGAAACAUGGAAUACGUUAUGAAUCUUUUCUAACUCAGGCAGUAACAUCAAUCUAUAACCAACCGAUCCAACUCGCUCUAUAAUCUCAUACGGUCCAAUGAAUCUCGGACUCAAUUUGCCUUUACGACCAAAUCUGAGUAUUUUCUUCCACGGUGAGACUUUUAAAAACACUUUAUCCCCGAUCUGAAAUUCUAUAUCCUUUCUUUUCAAAUCCGCAUAAGAUUUCUGACGAUCCGGUGCUGAUUUCAGACUGUCCCGAAUCACUUUCACUUUCUGUUCGGUCUCUUUAAUCAAAUCAACCCCGUGUAUCUUAUUUUCACUGAGCUCAGUCCAAUACAGUGGUGUACGACAUUUACGACCGUACAAAGCCUCAUAAGGUGCCAUUUUGAUACUAGAUUGAAAGCUAUUAUUAUAAGCAAAUUCAAUCAAAGGUAAGUAUCGUUCCCACGUACCUUCAAACUCGAGAAUGCAACAUCUCAACAUAUCCUCAAGUAUCUGAAUGAUUCGUUCAGAUUGACCAUCUGUCUGCGGAUGGAAAGCUGUGCUAAAAUGUAGUUUCGUACCUAAAGCUGUGCUAAAAUGCACACAAAAUAAACACACAAAAUAAUAUUAAUAAUAUUUUUCUAAUUCGGAUUUGUGGUCCCGAAACCACUAUUCCGAUUAGGGUCAAAAACCGGGUUGUUACAAUUCUGCUUCUUCUGCAUCAUCAUCUUUGGUAGCUCGAAAUUCUUCAGCCCCUUACUUCCUAAUCUUAUCAACAGGUGGUCUCUCACUGAUGACUAUACCUGCAGCUAGGGAAACUACAUGAGGAACCUGUGAAUCCUGAAGGGGUGGAGGUCUUACACCCGGAUUCAUACGAACGAACUCGGCAAACCAAUCAUUCAUGGCUUGGAAGAAGGCUUCUCUAGCUCCUCCUCCCUGUCUAACUGAUGCAGGUCUUUCACUAACGUUAACAUCUAGUGGCACCGUCCUUUCUGCGGAAGUAGGCGCAUUACUCUCUACUUCAUCUGCACCAGCUCGUUCAGGAUCCGUAACUAUAAAAUAAAAUAUUUUAAAAUCGUCAAGAGUCGUCACACUAUCAAAAUAUAUAAGUAUGGCAUGUAUAGGUAGACUUUUAUUCAUACUGCAUAUUUCUGAGAACCGAUUAAACCUGCUCUGAUACCAACAAAUGUAACACCCCUUACCCAAGACCAUUUUCGGAGUCGAGCACGAGGCAUUACUUAUCUUAUCUUACUAACUCGAAGCAUAAAAACUUAUUUUAAAAAUUAAUUUCACUAUUUACAGCAAUCUGUCCAAUCGAGCAGCAGUUACUAAAUUAAUAAUAACUCGAGCUACGGAACUUGAAAUUUAACUUCGUAAAUUUUCACUGAAACUAGACUCAUAUAUCUUCCUACCAUAAAGUUUUUAGGAUUUUUUGUUUAGCCAACUAGUACAGUUUAUUAGUCAAAUUCUCCCCUGUUUCACCAAUCGAUUGCCUUGACCUCUUAUCACUAAAAAUAAAAUUUCUCAAUGUGGGAUUUUCGUAUAGUGCUACUGCUUGCUUCUACAAAAAAUAGACUCAAUAAGGAAUCUAUAAAUAUAAACUACAGCUCCUAAAUAUUUUUUUAAAAAUUUUAAUGAUUUUCUAAACUCAAAAUAGGGGUCACCAAAAACUGUUCUAACCCUGUCUCACCAAAAUUCACAUAUCUUAAAAUAUAAAAUUCAUUUUGCUACACCGUUAUUUUUAUCUGAAAAUAGACUCAACAAGAUUUAAAUUCAUAUAUCAUUCACUCUUUAAUUCAUUUUAUACUAUCCUAGGUGAUAUUUCAAAGUCACGUCGUUGUUGCUGCCUGAAUUCUGUUUCUUUGCAAAAUUGUACCAUUUUAUGAUUUCCAUGCAUAGUUUAUCACUUACACUCUUAUAACAACAAACACUUCCAUACUUCACCAUUUUAGCAACCAUUCAUCAUCAACUACUUACAUAUCAUUCUUUAUCAAGAUCAUAAAUACAAACAUUUAAAAUAACUAAAUCCCUAUACAUUCCAUACUCAACAUGGUUCAACAUAAAAAUACCGAGUUGCUGUGGCUGAUAGUGUGGACGAUCUCCGACUUCUUUAGGAUCCUUGAAGUAACCUUGCAAUACUAUAAGAGAAAGAGAAAUAAAAGACGUAAGCAUAAAGCUUAGUAAGUUUACUAGCAAAUAAAUAACAAUAUUUAACUCAGAUAAUUAAACUCAAGUGUCUAUAUCUCUAGUUUACUCUUUAGUUAAUCCCAUUCUAGUUCUCUUGCUUGUUUACUUAGUAUACUUGUGUGCAUAACUUAAUCUUCUCUUGCUGUAUCGUUGAAUAUCAAUUGAUAAUAUAAUAAGUUCUUAACUCUUAUAACUUACCUGAACUUGCCAUUUAUGUUUUUAACUGAACUUUCCUGAACAUGAUUCGUUAUUUAGCCCGUUGAGCUACAUUGGAACAAUAAGGAUACUCGGGUCUCUUCUGAUAAUAACAUGCCAAAGCCAUGUCCCAGACAUGGUCUUACAUGGGAUGUACUCAUGUCGGUGCCCAUUCCAUGUCCCAGACAUGGUCUUACGGGGGACCUCUCAUCUCGGUGCCAAUGUCAUGUCUCAGACAUGGUCUUACAUGGGACCUCUCAUCUCGGUGCCAACACCAUGUCCCAGACAUUGUCUUACAUGGGACCUCUCAUUUCGGUGCCAACGCCAUGUCCCAGACAUGGUCUUACAUGGGACCUCUUUAUCCAAAUGUCAUGACAUUCGUAUCCAGUAUUAUCCUUAUGUAUCAACGGGACUUUUUAAUUUUAAUUCUCUAUCAUUUCAUGCUUGGAUAAUCAUCAAAUAAAUUCAUGAAAUAAAUUCAUAGUUGCUGGAAAAUAGCAGCAUUAAUAAAAAUUAUUGAAAUAUUUCAUUUAUUUACCGUAAACUUACCUUGGUACCGAAUAUAGCCCAAUUCACCAACUUAGUCUUCAACUUUAUUCUUUCCUUUGUCUAACCUCGAGUUUCAUUCUUCUUGAUCUAAAAUAGAAAAUUUAACUUAUUUAAUACUCACAUUCAUCAAAACAGCCCUCGACUCUAACUUUUCAAAAUUAUGAUUUUGCCCCUAAACUUUUACAUAAUUACAUUUUUCCCCAAGGCUCGAAAAUUCAACUUCAUCUCAUAUUCUUAUGUUUUAUGGCAUGCUGAAUAUUUUUCUCUUCUAUGACAAUAUCAAAUUCUCACUCUAACACUUACUUAUGUACAUUAGAGAUUUUUACCGAUUAUGUCAACUUACUCGUUUUUGCUUAAAAUCGGCUAACAAAAGUUGUUUAACAUAAUUUAUAGCUUCAUAUUCUAUCAUAAAACAUCAAAAUAAACACUUUUCACCUAUGGGUAUUUUUCCAAAUAUAAACCCUAGGUUAAAUUAUUGCUAGAAUAAGCUAAAUUAAGUUACCGGGACUCCAAAAACGUAAGGAACAUUAAAAACGGGGCUUGGGAUCACUUACUAUGGAGCUUGGAAGCUUGAAAACCCUAAAUAUGGCUUACCCCCUUGCUGAUUUCGUCCAAAUGAAGAAGAUGAGCAUAAUUUGUCAUCUUUUUCCCUUUUAAUUCAUUUUAAUUACUAGAUUACCAAAUUGCCCCUAACUUAAAAAUUUCCUAUUUCACUUAUCUCAUGUCCAUUUUUGUCUAAAAACUUAACCAAUGGUCUAAUUACCAUAUAAAGACCUCCAAUUUAAAGUUUCAUAACAAUUGGACACCUCUAACAUGUAGAACUCAACUUUUGCACUUUUUGCAAUUUAGUACUUUUGACUAAAUUGAGUGCCCAAACUUCAAAAUUUUCGAAUAAAAUUUUCAUGAAAUCAUUUUGUGAAAUCAUAGACCAUAAAAAUAUAAGAAAAAUAAAAUUUUCCUCAUCGGAUUUGUGAUCCCGAAACCACUGUUCCGAUAAUCUUAAAUUUGGGCCAUUACAUGAUCACCUUUUUACUAGCUCAUACAUCUCCUACAUCAGACCUUACAUGCAUGCUUACCAAACUUUAUUCUUUUUAACAAAACUUUAUACAUAUCAUCGUAGCACAUCUUUCAUCUUUACUAAACUCAUAUUUUUACCAAUUUCUGUAGACAUCAUCAUCAUCAUCCUAUAUAUAUGCUUCUUGUUUGAACAGUUCAUAUCAAAGAGUCAAGAUAGAGACCCACUUGACACUCACCUACUGCAGUUCAAAGCUCUAAACUUAACCAUCCUUCUCAAACCAGCAGUAAAAACUGCUUAUAGAACAUAGAAUCACCAUUAAAAACCCAUUUACAUACAAAUUACUAUCAUCUUAAUCACUUUUCCACUGUUAAUUUAUAAAUAAGUGUUAAGUAGUAAAUAAAUAAAAAAAUUAACUAAGUUUUCAAAAAAAAAGUCACUGUGACGAGAAGAAUGUUAAAAUUAAUUGGUGUUUGUUAACUCAUAUGUUUUUCUAAAAAUGGGUUAAGUUUUCUUCUGAAAUAAACAAAUGUUUUAAAAUGAUUGUUUUAUAAACUCCGAUCGUACUAUCCCAUCUUGGUGGCUGAUGUAAUAUCCCAAAUUCAGGUCUAACAUCUAAGUCGGGUUGGAUAGGUUACAAUAUAUAUAGAAAGAUUGAUAAAUAAUGCAAACUUGAAUACAAGCAAAGAAAGAAAUCAAUCAAUGUGAAUGACUAACAAGUUUAAAAUCAUAUAUUUGCAUUAUAUUUUGUAAAGCACAAGAUUGUCAUGGAAUUAGACAAUUUGUUUUGAUAAUGGUUAUAUUUUAUAUAGAUUUACUUUUAUGCACUUUCAUAUUGAGUUGAUCAAAAGUUUUGAAACUUUAUAGAAAAUUUGAAUGAAAGAGCAUAUUGAUAUAUAUGCUAUCUUGAGUGUUGAAUUAAGCAUUCUUUAGUAAAAGAGUGUACAUUUCGCACAUGGUAGGUGUGUUGGUUUCUUAUAUAUUAAUUAAGCACAAAUUAAAGAAAAAUAAUAUAUAUCACCAUAGUGUUGUAAUAUUUUGUAUAAUUUGUGAAAUUAUACAAGCAAAUAAGUUUACCUAUCUUGUUAAAUAAAACUCAUUAAGUUGGUUCUUAAUCUUGAAGAAUUAAAUAGGUUGGCUUCUUUAUUCAUUUUAUCCAACUACAAGUUAGAUUAAAGUUGUGGAAAUAGAAUGGUUGAAAAUUUGUGUUAAUGAGAAUUAGAGUUAUGGCCACAACUGAUGCCAACUAUUUCCUAAAAACAGGGAAUGAUGUCCAAAAACAUGCUGUAAAAUAAAAAUUUGGACAUGUUAGAAUAUGAAUUUAUUAUAUUAUAGUUUCAAUGUAAUACCCUUAUCCCAUCUCUGUUGCCGGAUUAGGAUUUCAGAGUAUUACUGAGAAAAAUAGAACAUUUAACUUUCCAACAGAAACAAUUGUACAAUUAAAUACCAACAUAUAACAAUUGAAUCUAAUCAUGGCAAAUAUUACACUUUUGGACCUUGAAUCGAGCCUAUGGGGCCCUAGAAACAGUUUAGGAACAAUCUGGGAUCAAAUCAAAACAAAUCAGAACAUUUUGAAAAAACAUAAAAAUUUAGGAAUACAGAGGUCACAGGCCAUAUGGCCAAGUCGUGUGACAUAGCCUAGAUUGUGUAAACAUCCGAAGUCAGGACACAUAGCUGUGUCCCAGCCUGUGUGUCUACUCAUGUGUAUAUUUGAAAUAGGGUCACACAGUCGUGUUGCAGACUGCCAAACGUGUGUGUAUUCAAAGUGAGGUCGCAAGACCAUGUGGCCGACCGUGCCACAAACUGUUUUGAGACACAAGGUCAUGUCUCAGACCGUGUAAAACAUGCACUUAAAAUAAUAAAUACACACGACCGUAUCUAGUGACUAUGUGUGGCACAUGGUCGUGUGGUAGCUUGUGUCUCAGGUCGUGUGCUCCAUUUUUAACCCCUAAAUCAAGCCAAUCAAGCAUCAUUUCUUAUACAACAAGACAUACCAUAUCUAACUAAUUUUACAUGGUUAAAAACACAUUCAAAUCAACAAAUACAUGCCAAAAUUUCGUUCAUCCUAUGUCUAACCAAUAUGCCAUCAAAAGGCACCUCAAUCCAUACAUCCAUUCAACUCAAGAACAAAGUUACAAUAAAUGAACAAGUUUUAUCAUUAGUUAACCAUUCAUGCCUAAAACCACUAAUCUAAUUGACCAAAAUAUGGGCAUACUCAACAAGCAACCAUUUCAAAACAUCAUCAUCAAAUCUUUAUAUACCAUUUAUGAUCAACUUAAUUAUAUUCAACACAAGUACACAUCCAAAAUCAAGCACAUCACUAAGUAUGCCAAAAUAACUUAACUAUUUACAUAUCAACAAUAAGACACCAUAUCCCAAAAUGAAAUAAAAAAGCUACCAAGAUGGUUGGAUAGUGUGUGCUCCAAAACAAUUCAUCCGGUUAGUCCACAAAACGCCAAAUCAACCAAUAUAGAUAAACAAAAAGGUAAGUUCUAAUUCUUGAUAUUCAAAUGCAAGAUCACACCACAUUAGUAUAUAUUUAUUUACAUCAUAAAUGAUACCUUCCAAAAUUCAUAACCAAUUCAUCAUCCACAAUUUCUCAAUACAACCAUUAAUAUUUAUAAACAAGAACUUCAUAGUAACAUUUAUCAUUUAGUAGUAAUAUAAUUAUCCAACAAAAUUGAACAAAUAAAUGCGUUUUAAGUCAUUUGAUACAUAGCCUGCUGAACUAUAGUAACUUGACUCGGAUACUCAUGAUACUACAUCACACCAAAGGUAUCAAUGAUGCAUAACAGAGGCACCGAAGUGCAGACAAAUGCAUGAAUGUGCAAUCAGAGGCACCGAAGUGAAAACAGAUGCACCAAAGUACAAACCCGUACGAGUGCGCAUUAAAACCCUAUUGGCAUGCUAAUCGUAUCCUAAUUGUUUACUACGUUCAACUGGGCAUUAUACUUAAAAUCAUAAUAUCAAUAAAUCCAUCAUUUAGAGGCACUUCUUAUUUCCGUACACAUACUAUAAAUAUGUAACUUUCAUUUCAAUAAUAUGCAAUAACAAUAAUUACCAUCAUCAAACAUUCAUUUUCUAUUUGUACUUAAUUGCAAAAUUUAAUAAUAUAUAAGUAACUCAUGAAAUUUCACAUAUAUACCAUUAACUAGAAAACAAUAAUAUAAUCAUAAAGUGACACACAUAUACAUAUUAUUACACUAUGAACUUACCUAAAAUCUACUUUCGAUUAAUACACAGGGACUACUCCGCUAUUUUUUCCCUUUUCUCGGUUAUUGUCUUUUUGACUCGGUUCUUGAUCUAUAUAGUAAUUAAAUUCAAUUUAUGAAAUUCACAUACAUUUAAAACUCAAUUCAAUGCAUGAUACCCUUAUGUUUUCAUUAUUUUCACAUUUUUCUUAAACUUUUACAUUUCUCACAAUUUAGUCCCUACAAAAUUUAACAAAAUUUUACAAUUUUCCAUGUUAGUUGAACUUCUUUCGAAACUAGUACAAUCCCUAAUUAUUCACAAUUCACAAAAUUUCUAUGCAAAUUUUAAUAAUUCACACAUUGAUCAUUAAACUCAAAAUUAACACAAAUUUUUUUACAAAAAUAUCCUAAUCAACAUUCAAAUAUGUACAACUACCAUUAAAAAUCAUGAACACCAAAAUUCCAUUACUAACCAAUCCCUAAAACUUUAACAUUUUUAUAAUUCCAUCCUCGGGUUUAAUAGUUUAAGUUACAACGAGUUCAAAAACGUAAAAAUUAUUAAAAACAGGUAAGAGAAACACUUACAUGCACCAAUUUGCUAACCGAAACUUCAAGCUCCAAAAAUGGAGUUUUUUUUUUCUUUUUCGGUGGGAGAGAGUUGAGAAGAUGAUGAUACCAUUUUUUUCUUUUGUUUCUUUUCUUUAAUCAAACUAAUUACUAAAUUAUCCUUUUAAUCUAAACUAAAUUAUUAACAUAGCAUGUCCGUAAUUAUCCAUUAACUAACCAUAAGGUUUAUCUAUCAACCAAGUCCAUUACUUUAGUUUUUCUUUAAAAAUCAAGCACAUUUAACAAAUAGAAGCCACUUUAGCAUCUUUUACAAUUUAGACCUUUUUACUAAAUUAACUAAACAGACAUUAAAAUUUCUUAGCCAAAUUUUAUUAUGACUCCAAUAUAACUCUAUAAGCAUAAAAUAAACAUAAAAUACUAACUCAUUUGUCGAAAUUGUGGUCCUGAAACCACCUUUUUUGAUACCACUGAAAAAUGAGAUAUUACAUUAAAUCUCUAAUUUAUGAUAAUGAAUGUGAGAGAAUAAUUUUCUUUGUUUAGAAAUACUAAUCAUUUUCUUUGUUUAGUAAUACUACAACUAGAAUGUGUUUCGACCCUAUUAUUAGAAACUAAUAAUGGAAACCCAACUUUUAAUUAGAAACCUCUAAUUUUAAAGUUUAAUAGGUAACACCCCGAAUUUUGGCCCUAGAAGAAAUAUGUUUUGAACAAGGGAACAGUUAGGAGACUGCACAUAAAUAUUUAGUUGUGCAAGGAAGUGACAUAAAUGAAUGUCUACUUCAGUGGUUGAGUGAUUUAGGAGUGUUUGGAACUGUCUGAGAAGUCAGGGAUUCAAGCAUUGCUUAUGCAAAAUUUUUAUUUUAAGUGAAUAAAAUCAUUGGAUCUAGAUAGUAAGUUCUUAAAUUAUUGUGGUUAAAAUAUGAUGCAAAAGAGUUGUUGGUCUAGUGGUAAGGGGUGUGUGGAGUGCACAUAGGGCCUAAGGUUCGAGUGGUGGCGCAUCAGAAAGGAAAUAUUUAUUUUGCUACUUGAGCUGUUUAGGUAGUGGAGUUGGACUGAAACACAACUAAGGGGAGUUUGCAUAGAAUUUGAAUGGAGUUGUUGGGGGAGUUGAGGAGAAACCGGUAGAAUAAUUUAAGGAGGGAUAAGGGGAGAGAUUUUAGGAGAAAAUCAAGGGAAGUGAGGGGAGUGAAGAAGUGUGCCGAAAGUGGACUUUGAUACUCAGGAAAUUUGGCCAGAAGGGAUACUGCUCAUUUUGGUAUACUUUUCAUUUCGGUUUUGUGUAGUGUUUCUCUCUCUUUUUGCUUUUUGGUGCCGAAUUUUUGCUAAGAUUUCGAGUACCACUCGGGUUUUUCUUUUGCUGCUUUUUUCUUUUAUCAUUUCUUUUGUUUUGGCCGAAUUUCUUUUUAGUUCCCUCCUUUGUCGAAUUCUUUUCUCUCUUCUCUUUGUUGCUUCUUUUCAUUUCUCUAUUUUUCCAAACCUUGACCGAACAGUGUUGAAGUAGUUCUGUGUUCCAUCUUUUGUCUAAAAUGCUCUUCUUCCUCUACUCCUUUUGAUCAACUAUUUGUCGAAUAUUGCCUUCUCUCCCCUUUUAUCUCUUUAAAUUUAUUUUCGGCUUGACAACAAUUCUCUAACAGUUCAAAUUUCUUGAGGAGUGAAAAAGUAUCGCAUAAUAUUAAAGUCAUCGAAACCUUUCUCUCAUCACUCGAUCAAAGGUAAGUAUGUAGGCUAGCAUUCUAAAGUGUAGGCUGAGUGCUUUCUAUGGUUUCAUAAGUUAUUAUGUUUGGAUUUAAACCACAUGAAUAAACAAUCCUAUUUAAUAAAAUCCGUUUGUAAUGCAGAUAUCCAUCAAAGAGAUUGUAGUCAACCUUCGUCAGUGAUAUAAGUAGGCUAAGUCACAUUUGACAAUCGAGGCUUUGGUGCUCGUGGAUCUUAGAGUGUUUUCACAAUCAGGUGUGUAAACACCCCACUGUAACCGUAGAACGACAAAAAGCUAAAAGGCCAAAAAUACGGUGUUUGAGACCACACAGGCGUGCGAUCUCUCAUGUGGUAAGCCCAACCCACAAAUCAUGGCCGAUAGACUGUAGAGGCCUCCAUGAACAUUUCCAUGGGCUUAGGCCGUAAUGGGCCACGUUGGGCCGAAAUGGGUCGUGUGGGUUCAAUAGGCUCGUGGGCACCAUACAGAUGAGAACCACGAUUUGUGAAAAAUACUGGACUGGGCUAUGAAGAUCUCAUAGCCGUGGAAAAAUCUGGGCUGAACAGGCCGCACAAGCGUGCGGGCCUACUUGGGCCGAGUAAUGGGCCUUAGGCCCAUUUGUACCAUUAUGACCAUUUAGGUUACCUGAGUCGCUCGAGGUAACUACGGACCUUUCGAGAGGUCGAUAUCUGCACCAAGACCCAAAAUAGGUAAAAUGAUCGAAAUACCCCUAUAGAGUAAAAUGACCGAAAUACCCCCAAAGGAUAAAAUGAUUGAAAUACCCCUAUAAGGUAAAACGAUCGAAAUACCCCCGUAGGAUAAAAUAACUAUUAUACCCCUAGAAGAUGAAAUGACUGUUAUGGCCUUAUGCUAUGUAUGACUGUUUUGCUCUAUGAUAUGUAUGACUAUGGUUGAGCAUGACAUUUUUCAUACACGUAUGAUAUUAUGUCAUGAUAUAUUGCAUGGGGAUGGAUUGUUAUAUUUGGAGGAAGUGUACUGUACUGACAAGGUUGCACGGGUCGCCCAAGACGACUGUGGACCUACUGAUGGCUAUAUGCCAUUUAUUUUACUGGCAGCUUUGCUGCAAUACUGUUUAAUGCUGCAACUGGUGCUAAUCUUGGUGUGUUUGGAUGGAUGGGUAGAUUUUAUCCCCCAUAUGGUGUGUUUGGCGGAACUGUAACACCCUUAACCUGAAUCCAUUCUGACAUUGUCUCACAAAAUUUAUUAUAUCUCAUAGUUUACAAUUUUAUUACUUACACCAUUUCUUCCAUGAGAAACUAGACUCAAUAAGUUUUAAUUCUAUAUUUUAUUCAUACUCUAAUUCGAUUUUCAUAAUUUAUGGUGAUUUUUCAAAGUGAGCCUACUGUUGUUGUCCAAAACUAUUUUAGUACAAGAUGUUUAUUACCAUGUUUAUAACACCCUUAUUUUCUUUCUCUACACUAUUUCUCAUCCCUUUCUCUUAUUUUCUCUUCACUUACAUAUUAAGAACAUAGGACCAUAUAUACAAAAAAACUUUACACUAACAUCAUUUCCAUACUUUUUCAAUAAUAUCAAACUUAAAAAUAUACUAAAAUCUUGAUGUACUUACCUUGUCAUAUUGAUUUUAAUCUUUAACUUGAUUUUCUCUCUCCUCCAGCUUCUAUUUCUUGAAUCUAACUUGAUAUUAUAGCUCCCCAUAGUCUCCUUGUAAUCUUUCUCUCUUGAUGGAUAUGGAAAUUCUUUUGAUUUCUAGAUGAAAAUAGUGAAUUUUUGGUGAAAGGACUAAAUUGUAAAGAAAGCAAAACUUUCUUUCUUCUCUUCUCCUCUUAACGUGAAUUGCAUGGAAAAGAUGGUGGGUUGGUUCCUUUUCAUCUUUCUUUCCACAUAUAUAUACUAAAUAAUAAAAUAAUAAAAUAUCAUUUAAAAAUCAAAUUAAAAUACUAAUAAACUAAUAUUUAUUUGUUUAUUUAAUCUAAAAUAUCUCCAACAUCAUCAUUAUCUUCUAGAUUUCUCUCUCUUCUAAUUGACCAUUUUGCCCUUCAUGAUAUUUUAAAAUUCCAUCCUUGAGUCAUCACUUAAUUUCGUAAAAUUUCAAUUUAGUCCCUCAAAAUUCCUCACCUUUUUUCAAUUUAGUCCUAAUACAUCCAUUUUCCUUAGUUUCUAGAUCAUUCCACCCUUAAAAUAUUUACACCAUUGGUCCUUCAAUUUUUUCAUAUUUACACUUUAACCCCUCAAUUUUUGAGUAUUUACUCUUGGGCAACAAAAUUUUUACGAUUUAAUCCUUUCUUGAGGUAAUAUGUCAUAAUAUACUUCCCAAUGUUGACAUAACUCCAAAAUUCCCUUUUUUGUCGCUUUAUUUCCUUAUUUUUUUAUAUCAAAGAUAAUAUCUUACUGUAAAAAUUUUUUUGGGGGGUAUUACAUUUCUCUCCCCCUCAAAAUAAAUUUCGUCCUCGAAAUUUCCUUAUUUUCUUUUGAUCAUGAACUUAUUUUUUCUUUAAUUCUAUAGUUCAUUUUUUUUGCAUAUAUUUACUUAGCUUAUCAUUUGUGUCUAUUCUUUAUUCUUUCAUUUCACAAUUUAUUUUUAAUUUAAUAUUUCAAACAUGAAUCAGAGAUAAACUUUUACCUUGUAACUAAAAUUAUUUACCUUUUUACCUGAGGCCCAGUGGACUAAAUAGAACACGUAGGAUAUAUGAAAUUGAUACAGAAGUGCUCUGUUAUACAUCAUUAAACAGAGAGCACUAAAGUGUUAUACGGGAGCAUAAAUGUGCUAAUAAUUGGAGAGCACUAGCGUGCUAUUAAUCAGAGAGUGCGCUAAGGUUCCUUAAUGAUAUACUACUAAUAUCCUAAUAGUUCUAAUCUCAUCUACUUGGGCAAAUUAUAUCAUGCAUGCAUACGACUUUUACACUUUGCGCAUAAUGCUUUUACAUACUUUACAAUUUAAACCUUGUACCAAUGAUUCGUAUAUUUAUACCUUCUCUACCUUUAAUACAUGUAAUAUAUUUCAAAAUUCACUAAUAAUCCAUAUAUAUCAUGUACUUCAUAUAUCAUUUUUACAUAUUAUGCAAUUUAGUCAUCAGCGCAAUAUUUCUUGUAGCAAUAUGUUUUUCUUUUAAUGACACAUAUAACAUUCAUCAUCGACAUGUAUUAUAAAACAUUUAUUCAUACUUUCAUGAGUUCCAAUUCAUCCUAAUCAAUUUUUUUUACUCAUAUACUUGAGUAUCACUUUCAACAUUAUCAGAAUUAGCUCGGUUAGGAAAACAUCUCUGUUUAUAAGUAAAACAAUUCUCAUCAGACUCGAGAGAUAUCACACUAUCACAGGUUACAUAAUGGCAUGCAUUUCUAGACUUCACAUAAGCUACGUUUGGUCCAAGAACCGACUAAAUCGUAGCUCUGAUACCAAUAAAUGUAACACUCUUAACCCGAAUCCAUUCUGACAUUGUCUCACAAAAUUUAUUAUAUCUCAUAGUUUACAAUUCUAUUACUUACACCAUUUCUUCCAUGAGAAACUAGACUCAAUAAGCUUUAAUUCUAUAUUUUAUUCAUACUCUAAUUCGAUUUUCAUAAUUUAUGGUGAUUUUUCAAAGUGAGCCUACUGUUGCUGUCCAAAACUAUUUUAGUACAAGAUGUUUAUUACCAUGUUUAUAACACCCUUAUUUUCUUUCGCUACACUAUUUCUCAUCCCUUUCUCUUAUUUUCUGUUCACUAACGUAUUAAGAACAUAGGACCAUAUAUACAAAAACUUUACAUUAACAUCAUUUCCAUACUUUUUCAAUAAUAUCAAACUUAAAAAUAUACUAAAAUCUUGAUGUACUUACCUUGUCAUAUUGAUUUCAAUCUUUAACUUGAUUUUCUCUCUCCUCCAGCUUCUAUUUCUUGAAUCUAACUUGAUAUUAUAGCUCCCCAUAGUCUCCUUGUAAUCUUUCUCUCUUGAUGGAUAUGGAAAUUCUUUUGAUUUCUAGAUGAAAAUAGUGAAUUUUUGGUGGAAGGACUAAAUUGUAAAGAAAGCAAAACUUUCUUUCUUUUCUCCUCUUAACGUGAAUUGCAUGGAAAAGAUGGUAGGUUGGUUCCUUUUCAUCUUUCUUUCCACAUAUAUAUACUAAAUAAUAAAAUAAUAAAAUAUCAUUUAAAAAUCAAAUUAAAAUACUAAUAAACUAAUAUUUAUUUAUUUAUUUAAUCUAAAAUAUCUCCAACAUCAUCAUUAUCUUCUAGAUUUCUCUCUCUUCUAAUUGACCAUUUUGCCCUUCAUGAUAUUUUAAAAUUCCAUCCUUGAGUCAUCACUUAAUUUCGUAAAAUUGCAAUUUAGUCCCUCAAAAUUCUUCACCUUUUUUCAAUUUAGUCCUAAUACAUCCAUUUUCCUUAGUUUCUAUAUCAUCCCACCCUUAAAGUAUUUACACCAUUGGUCCUUCAACUUUUUCAUAUUUACACUUUAACCCCUCAAUUUUUGAGUAUUUACUCUUGGGCAACAAAAUUUUUACGAUUUAAUCAUUUCUUGAGGUAAUAUGUCAUAAUAUACUUCCCAAUGUUGACAUAACUCCAAAAUUUCCCUUUUUGUCGCUUUAUUUCCUUAUUUUUUUAUAUCAAAGAUAAUAUCUUAGUGUAAAAAAAAAUUUUUUGGGUAUUACAGGAACAGAGUGGUGUGUAGAGGCUGGAUUGGGUAGGAUUUCUAACUGCAUAUCUACACUAAUUAAUGAUUUUGUAUUGUUACUACAUCGAUUAAUGAUAUUACAUACUGUUUACUGCAUGACUGAUAUUUGUUGCUGUUAUGGGCCAAGGCCCCACUGAUACUAUUACUGAAAUUGGGCAAAUGCCCUAUUGAUUAUUGGUAUUGUGAUGGGCUCAAGCCCAAUCGUUUAAUGUUACGGGAAAGGGCUUAGGCCCACACUGAACUGGACUGUUACUAUAACAGGCUCAGGCCCAAACUGUAUUUAUCUAUUGUUUAAUUGACUACUUACUUGUUAGGGGAUUGCACACUGAGUUUUCGUAAACUCAACCCGUUGUUUAACUGUACAGGUAAUCCCUAGUUGUAGUAGGGUCAGUGCUGCGAGGGACUCGAUGAUGGCCACACAACUGCAUCAGCUUUUGUUUUUAGCCUUUGAUUUAUAAGAAACUGAAUUUGGGUAUUUUUAUGUAAAAAGGCCUCUUUAAAGUUAUAAACUUUAAAUUGGGGUUUUUAUUUAUUUAGUUUGAUAUAAACUACUAGUUGUAGAAAAAGACGGGUUUUCAAAAGGUAAAUGUUUUCAAAGUUUCAAAAGGUAAAUGUUUUCAAAGACACCACGUUUUCGCAACAUUUCUAAAAAAAAACUUCCGCAAUGAAUGAGAUUUUGGAAAAUUUAUAACGUUUUAAAAGUGAUUAGCUUUUAAUGAUGCAUGCUUGGAAAUGAACAACCCGUUUUGGAAUCAUAGUUUAACAGCAAAAUGAUUAAUUGAUUUUAAAGAUUUCAACGACAACAAGUUUUACGCUAAACACCUUAAAGUGACACCGCCAGAUUCAACCAUAACUCCUAGGCCGGGUUUGGGGUGUUACAAUGUGUUUCAACCCUAUUAUUAGAAACUGAUACCCUAUUAUUAGAAACUGAUAAUGGAAACACAACUUUUAAUUAGAAACCUCUAAUUUUAAAAUUCAAUAGGUAAAAGCAAGUUAUCGUUAAGUGCCUGUGAUACGCUAGUAAAACUCAUUCUAGAAAAAAAAGUUUAAUGGAAACAAUUGUUAUCCAUUGCGUAUAGAGGAUGAAUUUGAAUACUAUUAAUUAAGUUCAUUGUUUAUUGUUUAAAUGUCUAAAGUAAGGGAGACAUUAAAAGAACUCUACCUUUAUAAACAUAAGAAGUGGUGCCACUUCAACAAGUAAAGGUAGGGUCUCUCUUGUAAAUGUUUAUUAUGAACAAGAUAAGCACAUGAUCAUUUUAGUGCUAAAAGUGAACAACCUCUGAUAGAAAUAUAAACGAAUAUUAUGUAUAGUGUAUUUCAACUUCUAAUACUAGGAGUUGUGGUUCAAUCUUCGGACACCGACAACUUAUUAAAACUUUGAAAAGCAUCCGCUUAUUGAUGGUUCAUAUUGAGAGGUAUCAUCUUUAAUGCAUAAUAUUUGUUUGAGUGAAUGACCAUAAAGUAUGGUACCAACAUUUAAACUAAGGGUGAUUGUUAGUAGUUUAUAAUUUUGGCAGUAAAAAUAUUUUAUUAUGUAGAAAAGUCUAAUAAAUUAUAAUUAUUGGUCAAAUAGUUGUGUUGUAAAGACAAUUUUUGUAUGUAAAGUUGUCUUAUAAACUUUAUGUAAAGUUGUGUUGUAAAACAACAAAAUUAUAUGAAAAUGUAUCUUAUUAAAAGAUACAUCCAUAUGAAAGGGUAUCUCAUGAAAAGAUACACCUAUUAGAUGUCUAUAUAAAAGAUUUUUCUGUUAGUUAUUUAAAUUGUUUUGCUUGGAGUGUUGAGGGCUUUGUUGUAUCUUGAAGGUAUUUUAAAAUCUUAAAGAAAGUGCUCUACACACCUUAAAGUCAUUAUAUUUUAUAACAUUAUUUUAUUUUUCUAACUUUUAUUUUCCUAUUAUUUAUUUUUCUAACAGCUAGAAUAUAGGAAAAUUAUUAUGUUUCUAGCUAUAUAUUGAAUACAAGUAUGUUGGUGUUUAGAACUCGAACUUUGAUGGUUGAUCGAGAGAUUUGAAGCAGAAAGAAGAGACGGGAAGUUUUAAGUAGAAAAAUAAUUGAAGACUGGAAUAUAUAAUUGAUUUGCACCUCAACUAUUUAAAUACAAAAGUUCAAGCUAAAAAUAGAAAAAAAAAGUUCUAAAAAUCUGCUAAAAAUCUGGUAACAAAAUAGCAAACAAAUCAAAAAUCUAAUCUCCUAAAGUCAAGGAGAAUUAUUCAAACUUAGUAACAGAAAAAAUUUAAAUGGCAGCAAUCUUAAACACAUGAUCUUAACACUCCUCCUUGUUUAGAUGCUACAAACUCCAAGUUUCUUCCUGAAGCUUUCAAACUUGCUAAGUGGCAAUGGUUUGGUGAAGAUAUCUGCAAUUUGAUCUUCAGAUUUGUAGUAACAAAGAGACACAUCACCACUCUUUUAAACUUCUCGAACAAAAAAUAACUUGAUGUUAAAAUGCUUAGUCUUCCCAUGAAAGACUGGAUUGUUAGAGAUUGCAAUGGCAGCCUGGUUAUCAACUAGAAUCUUUGUGCUUUGCUUCUACUCCAUGUUUAGAUCAACAAGAAUCUUCCUUAACCAGAGAGCUUGGUUAACUGUUGCUGUUGCAGCCAUAAAUUCUGCCUCAACAGUGGAUUGAGCUACAGUUUCUUGCUUCUUCGAGCUCCAAGAGAACAUGCCUGAUCCAAGGCAAAAACAAUAACCAGAGGUACUCUUCAUAUCAUCAGUUAAGCCACCCCAAUCACUGUUAGAGAAACCAAUCAACUUCAAUUCCCUAUGCUUUAAAAACUUUACUCCAUAAUUCCAGGUCCCCUUGAUGUAUCUGAUAACUCUUUUUGCAGCUCUCAUGUGAGUCUCAUUGGGACAAUGCAUGAAUCUGGAGAGAAUACUUACAGCAUUCAAGAUGUCGAGUCUGGUUGUUGUUAAGUACAUUAGACAACCUACCAAACUCCUGAACUCAGCUUCAAUGACUUUGGCAGAACCAUCAUCUUUGAUUAGCUUCUCUUUUUGAUUCAUAGGAGUACUCAUUGCUUUGCAAUCUUCCAUAUGGAAUUUUCUAAGUAUCUCCUUUGCAUACUUUCUUUGACAGAUGAACACUUCAUCUUGGCUUUAUUUGAUCUCAAUGCCAAGGAAAUAAGACAUCAGAUCAAGGUCUGUCAUUUCGAAGACAUUAUGCAUUUCCAAUUUAAACUGAUUAACUUGAUCGAUAUUGCUCCUUGUAAUCAAUAAGUACAAAUAAGCAAGCUUUUUCCUUUGAUUUCCUUAUCUUCUUUUCUUUUUGUGCUUUAAUCUGUGCCACAGUAGGAUUUGCUGGAAGAGGUGGGACCUCGUAAUCCUCUUCUACAGGUUCCCAAAGAUCCAAAGCCUCUAUGUAAGUCUCCAUGCGAACUGCCUACAUCUGGUAAUUGUCUCCAUCGAAGACUGGUGGUGCAGCAACUGAAAAACUGGACCCUCCUUCCAUAUUAACACGCAAAUAACCUAACAAAUCCCUCAAGAAAAUAGCUCUGAUACCAAUUUGUUGGUGUUUAGAACUCGAACUUUGAUGGUUGAUCGAGAGAUUUGAAGCAGAAAGAAGAGACGGGAAGUUUUAAGUAGAAAAAUAAUUGAAGACUGGAAUAUAUAAUUGAUUUGCACCUCAACUAUUUAAAUACAAAAGUUCAAGCUAAAAAUAGAAAAAAAAUGUUUUAAAAAUCUGCUAAAAAUCUGGUAACAAAAUAGCAAACAAAUAAAAAAUCUAAUCUCCUAAAAUCAAGAAGAAUUAUUCAAACUUAGUAACAGAAAAAAUUUAAAUGGCAGCAAUCUUAAACCCAUGAUCUUAACAAAGUACUACUUGGAAGCCAACACCCACAAACAUGAUAAAAGUUAAUUUUGAUGAGAGUUUUGACAUGGAAGCAAGAAAUGAGGAAGAGGGUAGUUAUGCAGCAUUGUGAUGAUUUUUUAGUCUGACUAUGCAACCAUCCAAUUUAGGGUGCAUUCUCCAUUGUGGUGAAAAAGCACUUAAAGAACAUUUGGUUUUUGCACUUAAAAUGUGAUGGAAAAAUGUUUUUCCACCCAAAUACAAAAACUAGGAUAUAAAUGUUUUUGACUUUUAGCUUUUAUGUUUGGAAGUGAAAAUUAUCAAAAUAUCAUUAUUUAUAUUAACUAUUUAAAUGGUAUAUAAAAAUUAGAUUAAUUUAUAUUUUAUAUAUCAUUAUAUUAAAUUAUUUAAAUAUUAUUUAUUAUUAUAUAUUUUAAUAAUUUAUAUAUCAUCUAUUUUACAAAUAAUUUAUAUUAAUUACUUAAAAAAUAUUUGGAACUUAUAUUUCAUGUAUCAUUAUAUUAAAUUAUUUAAAUAUCACAUAAUUUAACUAAUUUUUUACUUUCCACUAUCAUGUCUAAAGAAAAGGAUAUUUUAACUUUUAACAAGAAUUUUUUGUAGCAAUGGAGAACACCAAAAAUUAAUAAACACACUUUUUCAUAGUAAUUUUCAACCACACUUUUCAACCGCAACCCUAAUGAAGAAUUAAUCCUUACUAAAGUUACCGAAGCACUAGCUUCCACCGUAGCCAUUGAAAUGGCGCUCCAAUUGGGAUUGCAACACAUUAUUAUUAAAGGAGAUGCUCUCCAAGUGGUUUCGGAGUUGAAGGAAGACAAAGGAGACCUACCAACAACCGGACCUUGAUAGCAAAGAGUUGAAUACUUGCUAAACAGGUUCAGCAAUGUAGGUUUCAACACAGGAAGAGGCAUGCUAAUGAGGUGGCACAUCAUCUGACCAAACAGGGCCUUAAUUGUUUUCCAUCUUUUGUUCAUAUGUUUGUUUUGAAAAGGUAAAACAAAUCCUCACCUAUUGAUGUUAGAACGGUUGAAUUGCUAAAAGCAUGCUGCAUGCAUAACCAUGCUUUAGGUUAGGCUUCAAAUUAAAUAAAUUUUAAAUUAUUUUUAUUUAAAUUUAAUUAUAAAAAUAAAUUAAUAUCAAUAGAAAAUUAUAUAAAAUUUUAAGAUAUUUUAUUUUUCAAUAAUAAAACGAAUCAUUCACCAAACCUAAUUCUUCAAUUUCUUUUUAAUUAGAUCACAACUCAAGCCAAGCUAACCAAUAAACACCCAAAAUCUACCAUCAUUUUCAUUUUCAUUUUUUUUUCUUUUGUGACAAAGUAGACAGAAGAUUCGGUUUGGAUAAGCUCUACGUUAUUAAGUCAAAAGCUGAAGUAAUUUUAAUCAUAAAUUGUUUUAUUUGUCUAUAAUGCAAAACAAUGACCCAGUUAGUACAAUAAAGCUUUAACUUUGUGGAACAUUUCAGUCCAAAAAAAAAAAAAAAAAGAAUUGUGGAAAUUUUAGAGCAGUUGACCAUUUCUUCGGAAUUAGUUUUCUCACUUCUUGUCCAUAUUCCAUGUAUAUUAUUUCAAGAAAUUAGGUUUAGAAAUUUGCAUAAUUCAACCAUUGAACUAAUAAAUAUUAAACAAAAAUUGGGUGGCAAAAAAAAUCUUAUUAAAAUCAUAUACUAUUACUAAAAUUUAUGAUUAAAUUAGUGUCACGAGUUAACGGGACAUUAACAAAUUAUAUUAUUUGAGGGUAUUUUAAUCUUUUUAUUAAAAAAGAUGAUGUCUCAAAUUAACUCACAAUCUAAUCUAAUUUUUCAUUUUAAUAUUGUAAAUAUUUCAUGUUUUAUUAUUAAUUUGUUUCAAAUUAUACAUUUCAUUAUUUAUUUUAUGUUAUUUUUAAACACAUCUGUAUUCUAAGUACCUAAUUUUCACUUAUGGGUAUCAGAGGCGAAUCUAGGGAGGCUGAUAGGGGUCUCGGUCCCCUUAAAAUAGAAAAUUAUUAUUUAAGCCAUUUAGAAAAUUUUAAAAUUUUAAAUUAGUAAAUGUAAAAUUACACUUUGACCCCUCUAAAAUUAUAAAAAUUUGAUUUAAUCCUUUAAAAAUUAUAAAGAUAUAAACUAUUAAAAAUAAAAAUUUCAUUUCGGCCCUGCCUAAAAAAUUUUUUUGACUUCACCCCUAAAGUAUGAUAGAGUUUCUAGUAUGAAUAAUUUUCUUUGGAAGUGUUAAACAAACAAAGGAGUUAAGUAAACAGUAGUUUUCAUACAGAAAUAUUCGGCGUUGAUGUUUCCCUUUCGAAUAAUUAAAUUAAGACUUAGGAAAAGGGAAAACAAUGAAAAAGAAACUAAAAUUGAGCUUAAUUUAUGGAGUUGGGUUAAAAUUUUAAUAUUUAAAUAUAAAAAUUCUAAUAAUUUGAUCUGGUCCGUUUCAUCUAGCAGACUAAUAAUAAAUCUUAAAACAUAUUAUAUUUUAAUUUAAAUAAAACCAAAACUAAUACACUUGACCUACAUCUACAUGUGAUCUAUGCUUCAUUUAAAUUAGUCUAAAUUAGACGAGAUCUUGAUUAGGAGUCAUUUAUUUAUAUUAUAAGUCCCUGAAACAUGCAAAACUUACAUUUAAAAAUUAAUAUUUUUACGUUGUUGUUAGAAUAUAGGGUUUGUUAAUGUUUUCGUGUGAAGUCAGCUGUUGACAUUACCAAUCAGAUAAUGAAAAGGAAACAUGGCAAUUAUUCCAUCCUAAUUGUCACCAAAUUAAGUUAAUCCAAAAAUUACCAAACGUUUAGUACUUCAAUGGUAGAGUCAGCUCUUUCUUCUAGUCUAUCAAAAAAAGUCAAUUUAACCCCUAACUCUUGGAUGGAAAAGUUUUUGCUAUGAACUUGUUGAAGUGAAUCUCAUGUGAUAUAAACGCAUCGCAAUCUCCGUGUGUAACUAAAAAUAUUUGAGAGAUUGAAUAAUUUAAAGGGGAAAAAAAAAGAAUUUACUCCCUCCACUAACAAAUUACUCUUGCCAACGUAUGUAUGAAAGUAAACACCUUUAAUUAAUCAACAAAUGCUAAAGUUCGAGGUUUAGAAUUAAUUAAAUACCAAUAUAAAUAGUUAAUUACUUUUUUGAAAUAAGGAUAAAUCAGUUUGUGAGGUUUGAAUUUUUUGUAUCUUAACAAUUGUUCUGACUUUAGAGUUUGAAGGUUUUUUUUUUAUCCAAAUUAACCUAUGAACUUAGUAAUUUGUCUCUCAUUAAGGUUUAAAUUUUUUAUUUAUCUAAGUUAAUUCUUAAAAAUCUUGAAAUUCGAGAAUAAUUGUCAAGUUAAAAAAAUUUAGAUUUCAAUAUGAGAAUAAUCUACUAGUUCGUAACCUUAAUAUAAAAACAAUUGUUAAGUUGAAAACUUAAUUUAAAAACAAAUUCAAACCCUUCUUAAGUUUACGAUUUAACCCUUUGAAAUAUUGCGUUAACUAGUAAGAGUAAGAAUUAUUUUGUGUUGAUGAUUAAAUAAAUAUUUAAGUGGAGAUCAAGUUUUACCUCAUUUGUCAAUUGUCAGGUGAAGAAUAUAUACCCCUAAAGGCCUAUCAAAAACGGACCUAUCUCUAUCUAUAUAUCUUAACUAAUUUACUAUUCAUUUUUAAUGAAAAUCAAUAAAUCAAUGAAAACGUUAUAAAAAGAAAACUACGUGAAUAAAUUAUAUGUGUAAAAUUGAAAUAUUUCUUAUUUUAGUACAAUGGUAAGGAACAUUACAUUUUUAAGGAAAUGAUGUCAGGUUCAAACCUUAAAGAUAAUAUUCUUCUUCUUGAGAAGAACAAUCCCAAACUCCAAAAUGAACCCUUAUGAAUUAUAUAAAAAAAUUUUGAAAUAUUUCUAUAAAAUAUCAUUAAAGUUUUUUAUUUAAAAAAUGUUAUGGGUAUACUUUUACCUCUUGUAAAAAAGUCUUUCAUUUCUCAAUUCUUAUGGCAUAGUAAAUUUAUCAUUAAUUUUCAUCUUUAGGUAAAAAAAAUGGUUAUUAUUUGUGUAUUAAAUAAUUGUUAGGAUAAAUUUUAAAAUUGUAUAUGAAUUUUGGUUUAAUGUUAAUUAUAUACAUUAAUUUUAAUUUUAUGUAAUUUUAUAAAUGAAAUUUUAAUUUGAUCCAAUUCUAACAAAUUAUUAACACAGUUAUUGAUAUAACAUCAUUUUAUGUUUAUAUGCUAUAUACAGAAAUAAUUAUGUUUAUUCAAUAUAAAAAUAAAUUGAUGUAUUUAUUUCUUUAAACAUAUAUGAUUGAAUCAAAAUUAAAACAUCGUGUAUAUAUUUGAACCACAAUUAAAAUUUUACAUAUAAAAUUACAUAAAAUUACAAUUUAUAUACGUAAUAAACUAAAAUUCAUAUAUAAUUUUAAGAUUUAUGUCCACAAUUCUCUAAAGCUAAACGGUGAUGAUUACCAUGGAAAUUCAAUGUACUUAACUAAUUGGUUGAUAGGAACAGGCAUGAUGAAAUCCAUGAUGGGAAGAGAGAGAAUUCAAAAACUGGAAUGCCCCCAUUAAUCCAUGCAAAUAAACUUUUUCGGUAUUACAUCAUAAUUCAUUUAAUUUUAUCAUCAUCUCUAUGCCAUAACCAUGUUUAAAGUAAAAUACUUAUAUAAAUUGAGACAUUAAUAGUUUGUAUUAUAUAAAUUAUGACAUCCAUAUAUCCAUAUUAUAAUUUUUAUGAAAAAUUAGAGCUGGCAGAUAAAAAAUGGCUUACUGAUCAAUGAAAAAUAAACUUUAUUUCUUGUAAAUUGACUUAUCCUUUUAAAAAGUAUAAAUAUUUUUUUAAAAUUCAUUUAUGAGUAAUUUUAUUAUUAUAAAAAUUAAUUUUGCAAAGUCUAAUAUUAUUAUAUUAAUAAUUUUAUUUUAAAACUAUUUAAAAAUACUAAUAUCAAAUAUUAUAAUGUUGAAUCCUAGUAACAUACAUAUUAAAUUAUUUAAAUUAUGUAAUAUUGCAAUUUUAUUUUAAUACUAAAUUUUAACAACAAUAAUUUUAAAUUUUAGAUCAUAUUUUUAAUAUAUUAUUGAAAAAUAUUUAUAUUAAUAUUUUAAUAAUAAAUAUAUAUAUUAAAAUUUAUAAAUAUUUAAUAAUAAAUGUUUUAUAGUAUAAAAUAUGAAUAUUUUAAUUAUAUAGAUAUGAGCAUUUGUUUAAAUCAUGUUUAGUUUCAUUUAUCUCCCAACUAUAAUGUGUUAUUAUACACCGUCAUAUAUAUAAUAUAUGUAAUUUAAGCAUUGUUUAUUAUUAAAUUUAUAUAUGAUAUUAAUUAUUAUAAAAUAUUAUCUUAUUAUAAAAGAAAUUCUAAUUAUCAAAAAGAAAUGUUACUUUAAUAUUUUGUAACAAGUAUAUUUAUGUUGGGCUUGUUUCAAUAAUAACUUUAAAAUGAUUUUAGAAAAAAAAUUGUCAAAUAAUAAAAAAAUAUUUUAAGCAAAAUAAUUCAAACACAAAAAACUAUCAACUUUUCCAUAAAAUCAAUCCAAUUUUAAGAAAACAUUUUGUGAAAAUUGUUUUAGGUAAAACAAAAGGAACCUAUAUUUUAUAUAGUAUUUGAAAAGUUGUUGUAUCUAGAAUUAUUAUCUUAAAUAUUUUUUUAGGUCUAAUUUUAAAUUUCAUCCCUUUAUGAAAAUUGAGAAGUUAAAUUUUCUAUUUUACUUUAUCAGUCUGUGCUUGAUUGUUUAUUAAUUUGUCGUGUAUAAAUGGUUAAAUUAUUGAUUUUUGUUAAUUACUAGCAUGUAAAUUGUCAAACUACUUGUUCUCAAGGGAACGGUAAAGUUUAAUAGUAUUAUCAAUUUAGAACAAUUUUUGAGUUUUUUCUUUUAUUUUUCAUGUUCGAGUCCAUAAUUACUCCUUCUAAUAAUGUCGUCUUUAAAGUUUGAGUUCGAAUUCAAAUUCUCUUUUUGGAAGUACAAUAUGCCUUAUAAUUAUACCUAAUACUUUUGAUUUUUGUAAAAUAUAAGAAUCAAAAUUGUGUAGUAGGAUUAAUUUCUAGAUUUUUUAAAUUUAAAAUUUAUAAUAUUAUCAAUCGCAUCACACACAAAACCAAAGAACAAGAGAAUCUAAAAAACACGUGGACCAUUAAUUUAGGAAUGGACAUUAUAUUUUAUUAGUGGAAUAAACUCAUGCAAAAUGGUUGGAAAACACAUACAGGAUUAUAUAUACUAAUCAUUUUUAUUAUUAAGCAGAAUCGGAAAUAAAUAAAUACGAGCGAAACCACUGAAUAAUACAGCAUUGAAAUGCAAUUUGUCUACAUCAUUAUUGUUCUUCACUUCAAACGCGGAGACUAGUCUAGGCUCCCAAUCUUUUGCUUUAUCUCUCUAGAUAUAUCCUUUUCAAACUAUCUUUUUGUAGCUUUAUUUGCAUCACAGCAUUAUCUUUUCCUGCAAACAACUGUUCAAUGAUUAAAACAUGCAAAACAUUCUGAAAUAAUGCACCCUUACCAGAUGACAAAAAAAAAAAAAGAUUCUAAUGUAUCUUACCUUGGAUUGGAGCACGGUCAAAGCCGUGGCUUAGUAGUGGUGAGGAGGAGGGGGUGAAGCGUAGACAUAAUGGGGUGGUGGUGGUGGAGGAGACUUGUAUUUGUAAACUGGAGGAGGAGGUGGUGGAGACUUGUACUUGUAAGGGUGCUUGGGGGGUGAUGGUGGGGGUGGUGGGGGUGACUUGUACUUGUAGGGGUGCUUGGGUGGUGACGGUGGGGGUGGGGACUUGUACUUGUAAGGAUGCUUGGGGGGUGAUGGUGGUGGUGGUGGAGGUGACUUGUACUUGUAGGGGUGCUUGGGUGGUGACGGUGGGGGUGGGGACUUGUACUUGUAAGGGUGCUUGGGUGGUGACGGUGGUGGUGGUGGGGGGGACUUGUACUUGUAGGGAUGCUUUGGUGGGGAUGGUGGUGGUGGUGGUGGGGACUUGUACUUGUAGGGAUGCUUAGGUGGUGAUGGUGGUGGUGGUGGAGACUUGUAUUUGUAAGGAUGCUUUGGUGGUGAUGGUGGUGGAGGUGGUGGGGACUUGUACUUGUAAGGGUGCUUGGGUGGUGAUGGAGGUGGAGGUGGUGGAGACUUAUACUUGUAAACUGGAGGUGGUGGGGGUGGAGACUUGUACUUGUAAGGGUGCUUGGGUGGUGACGGAGGUGGAGGUGGUGGAGACUUAUACUUGUAAACUGGAGGUGGUGGGGGUGGAGACUUGUACUUGUAAGGGUGCUUGGGUGGUGAUGGUGGGGGUGGGGGUGGCGACUUGUACUUGUAGGGGUGUUUAGGUGGUGAUGGUGGUGGUGGUGGUGGUGGUGGGGACUUGUACUUGUAAGGAUGCUUGGGUGGUGAUGGUGGUGGAGGAGACUUGUACUUGUAAGGAUGCUUGGGUGGUGAUGGUGGUGGAGGUGGUGGAGACUUAUACUUGUAAACAGGAGUUGGUGGGGGAGGAGAUUUGUACUUGUAAGGUUUCUUGUGUGGUGGUGGUGGUGGAGGAGAGUAGAUCGGAGGAG